rnacentral:lncRNA from 1 species
GACAAAUAUUGUAGAGUACACCACAUUUUAUUUUAUAGAUGCGAUCGACAACCAUAAUCUAUUACAUCACAAUGUCAUAUAUGACAUCCUUCGUACAUCUUUUACAAUACACACAAACCUAAUUAAGAAAAGCAUUUUAUUUAAGUAGGUACGCAUUGAUGAACAUAUGCAUGCAUGAUUACAUAUAAUUGAACCCUUUUUAACAAGACCAGCAAAAGCUCUUUCCAACCGUUGCAUAUGACGUAUGGUUUUUAUUCAUUAAUUAAUUAAUUUAUGCUCCCAGAAGGUGAGCGUCAAGAUCCUGGACGAGUUUAACCAUCAAACCGACAUAUCUAUCUGGAGCUUUAACAUUCUCAUGCAGUUUCUCGUAUUCGAUCCACAGGUUGGCAAUGCAGGUGCCUUCAUCUUUUUGAGUGAAUUUAUAGACACCCUUGAAGCUCUUAUAAUACUUGAACACUUCUCCUUCCAAUCCUUUCAGAGUUGCGGCUUGUUCCCAUCGUCUAGCUCCACCUGUUCCUUGAAUAUCCCGACAUGAUCCCCUAUAUAUAUGCAUGCAUGCAUUCAUGGUUAAUUUCAUAACAACAAAAUAUAUAAACUUUCUCACCCUCUCUUAUUAGGAUCUUGUUUCCACUGUAGCAAAAAGGGGGCAAUAUGACUUAUUUAGGAAACAUGUAUUUACUGUAUAUGACUCUCAUUGUCUAGAACAAAAAUUGAAGGAAGCAUUGAAAUAUAUAUAAGAGGUCAUAUAUGGUAAAUACAUGAUUUCUACGAUUGUUCUAUCUCGACCUUGUUUUUGCUACAAUAAAUCAGAAUUUCUGCGAAAAAGCUGUAAACAUUGAAACUCGUGCUAUGAACGUAUGAUGAUUUGAGCGCAUCUGUUAAGGUAUACAUACAUAUAAAGUGAAUAAUUAAACAGGAAAAUUGAAUUAAGUAGCGGUACCUAGUUCAUAUUUCCAAAUCUUAACAGAGCCGUGUGUUUCCCAAUCUCCUUCAUGCACAUCAACUCCUUUGAUAUGGGUAUUAGAGAUGUUUGGGAUGAGGUGGGCGCUCUUGAACAUGUUGUACAACUUGUCAGCUGGUGCCUUAAUUUCUAUUUCAGUCCCAAUUUUACCAUGCAAAACCAUGUUUAUGAGCAGUUUUGAUGGGUGCUACUCAGAAAUUAUAAGAGAAGAAUGUUAAAGGAUAUGUAUAAUUUGGGCUCCUACCCUCCUUAAAUAGAAGCGACUAGAGUUAAAUUGCGAGAUAAAACUUAAUAUAUCCGGAACACGAUACAGUACGCCAUAUAUAUAUAAUAUGUAAUAUAAAUAUGGAGGGAAAGUUUUUUUUUUUUUUUUUUUUUUUUUUUGCAAGUGUUUCUCUACUUGUGUAGACGUAUGUACCCGUGUUCUAGAUAUUAAAAAUUCUCCCGUAAUAUUUUAAUAGUGGGUAAUCCAAUUUAAAAACCAAAUCAUGCAACACGUGAUAAAGAUUAAGUCAUAUAUUUUUUAAAUCAUACUUCUCGGAUAAUUGGAAUCCUAUGAAGUAAUGAUCACAAGUUCACAAUAUGCAUGGAUAGAUGAAGGGUUUGCUCAUGAUUAAUGUUAGGGAGACCAAAUUUCUAAAUCAAAAUUUGUAAACAAAAUAAUGUGGAGGUAAAUGAUUGAAUUAUUAUUUAAGUGUUAAUUAAUAUGCUUGUUUCUUAUUAAUAACAUAUCAUUUGAUUUGCAUUCACGCAUGCGAUAAAGAUUAGAUUAGUACGAUCACACUAAAAAUUUAUAUGUAAAUGUUUUAAAAUAAAAUGUAAUUUAUCUGCAAAAUGUUUUUUUUUUAAAAGGUACGAUAUUCUUUAAUAACAAAUUUAUACGUACAUCAAUGAGGAUAGGGUGUAAACAAAUGGCCUCGAUAAAAACCUUGCCGGGGUUUUUAACCCGAUCGAAGAGAGAUUUUUCAAUGUGACCGUCACACAAGGAGGUACACCACGUGUCUCUAUGUAAAUGGUUAGAUAUGUGUGUUAAAAGAUUAAUAACUUAAAAAUUAAAAUUUUCCACCACUUACAUAAAAAUACGUGGUGUACCAUCCGUGUUCCUGUCACAACUAAAAAUUUUCCCCGGUUGAAGGGAAAAAGAGUGUCCCACACCAACAUAAUUAAUUAAGAAUUGCUAUCCUAAAAAAGAAGAUCAAGAAUUACAUUAGGAAGUUCCUCAGACCAAACCACACAUUGUUACCAUAACUCAAGCUCAUACGUGCUAGCCUGUGUGCCACCUUGUUCGUCUCCUUUUGACUAAAUUCAACCUUCCACUUGGACAAUGAAUGAAUAAUUGCGUGUGUCGUUUAGAAUGUUUCCAAAGUGUGAGGUGUCAAUACUUCCUUCUGCAAAAUGUUUUAGAAUAAAAAGUUUUAUAUCUUGUAGGAUCACAUCUAUUUAUUUAUUAUCAUUAUUAUAUUUUUGGAAAGAUCGAUACGUAUGGGCCAUGGCGUCUGGUUCUUUUGUUAAAAAGCCAUCAAAUGGGGAGGCAUGGAUGAGGUAUUAGGUAUCCACAAAUGUCAGUUCACAAAAUAUUAUACUAAAAGUAAUUGAAAAGAAUCAAACAAAUAUUAAUUCUUUUCCCAAGAUAAUCCACUAAAAUGAGGGUCCACAACAUAGUUUUUCGGGAACUUUAACGAAAAACACCCGGUACUGUUCACUUUAACGAAAAACCACAUUUUUACACUAAAAAAUCAAUCCUGGUACUAUUCACUUUACCCUUUAUUUUGUCCUUAUCAUUAAAGCUCAAAGUUUUCAAGCCCUUUUCAUUAAUUUUCCUUAGUUUUUUCCACUAGAGUUUAUUGAUCCUUGAAGACUAUCAUUGACGAUUGAUCAUCCAACAGGUGCAUUAUUUAUUUUUUAACAAACGGUAAUAGUUACUAUUUCUUGAAUUGGAUAGGGGUAUCGAUACUAUUUCUUAAAUAAAACAUUAAUACUAUUAUUAUUCUUAAACUGAAUACUGGCACUAUUACUAUUUUUUAAACUGAACAUUCAUUAUUUCUUAAACCGAGCGCUGGUACUAUAACUAUUUCUUAAACUGAACAUUCAGUAUUUCUUAAACUGGACAUUCACUAUUUCGUAAACUGAACACAAAUAUUAUUACUAUUUCUUAAACUGAAUAUUCAUUAUUUUGUAUACUGAACACGGAUAUUAUCAUUAUUUCUUAAACGUAACACUAAUAUUAUUACUAUUUCUUAAGCUGAAUACUGACUAUUUCUUAAAUUGAACAAUAACUAUUUUUAUAAUUGAAUACAAGCACUGUCCCUAUUUCUUAAACCAAAAAUAGUGAAUUAGGGUUUAGUUAUUACGAUAUAUUACUGGAUUAUGAUUAACAUAUAAUUGUGUUCUGGCCUUAGAGAAAAAAGGUACACACCAUGUUAAAUACAUGUAGGCAUUUAUAUAUAAAUAUAUAUUACAUACGUAUAUAAUUCCAACUUUUGAUAGAUCAAGCCAUGAGUUUCCCAGUCUCCUUCUUGCACCUGAACUCCCUGGAUACUGCCAGAACAAAUUUUUGGGACGUGUGGCGAGCCUGGCUCUUGAAGAUGUUGUAGAACUUCUCAGCAGGUGCCUUAAUUUCGAUCUCAGUCUCAACCUUACCGUGCAGAGUCGUGUUUAUGAUCAGUUGGGAUGGCACUCAACAAUGCGUACAAGGCCUGUUCUAAAGAAACUUAAGGGCAGCCCUUUUCUGCUACAGUUAAAUUAUACAAUAUUAAUUUGAGGUAUUCAUCAAUUUACCUCCUAACUUAUAAGAAUUGGUCAAUUUUCCUUAUCAACUUUCAUAAUUAAUCAAUUUGCACCAUACUAUUAAUUUUUUAAAAUUUUUCAUCCUUUCUUCUGUUAAGUAUGUCAAGUGUUAUCCGCAUGACUGCCUUUAAAGGGUAAAAAGGUCAUUUUACCUACACCUUCCGUCUUCUUUCUCUUCUCCGAACUUUCUUUUCUUCUUCUUUUUCACCAAGCCGAGCCCGUACUGUUCCACCGUGCUCCACAGGCACGAUUUUCCCGGCGAACACCAAAAGAAACAGUGGGAGGGAUCUGAGCUCGUAGAUCCGCGUUCACUACAUCCCCUUCUUGCACUCCUCGCAAACCCUACCCUCCGAUUCUAAUGGGACACCUCCCCCGUCGCCACUGAGUUCCUGAAGAAGAACCGCGCAUACGACUUGGCCACCACCGCCGCCACUCCAACCACUCCCAGAGCCACAGGCGCGUGCUCCCCCGAAGACCCGCACCUGAAGUUGGCGCCCCCAAUUAUGAUCGAGUACUUGGACUUUCUCUUUCCCGGAUCCACGAAGCGCGUGGAGUAGGAGGCGGGGAGGUUGCAUAGCGUGUAAGACCCUAGCUUGGCGAUGUGGGGAGAAGAUGAGAUGGAUUUGAUCAAAGACUUGCCGAAGAAUCUGGGGAGAAGAUGCGGGGACUUUCUCUCCCGUAUUACUUAUCCUAUCAUUUUCCUUGUACGGGCUGCCAAACGAGGCCUUAGUAUGCUAUUGCCUUGUAUUUGAAAUUAGACAAUCGUUUUAUUUAAAAAAAAACAAACUUACUAAGUUCACACUUAAACAUAUUUAAACAAACUUACUAAGGUCAACACACUUGCAGAUAACACAAUUAAAACUAAACAUACCAACAAACAUGGAUCACACUUACAAGGCCAAACAAAGCAUAUAUAUAUAUAUAUGUAUGUAUGUAUGUAUAAUGUAUGUAUGUAUAUAUAUGUAUAUUAUAUUUAUGAACAGUAUUGCCCUUGCUCUUGUCUUUGCCCAACUGGUAGUAGAGUUGCACAGAGACAAAGUUGUUGGUAUAUGGUCCAGCCCAUGAUCAAUGUUCUAGAUUAUUCUAGUAAGCAAGAGAUGAGGCUGAAGCUUGCUAGACAAUUCUAGAAUGUUAUUAAGUUGAUGGAAGAAGCUAGAGAGUACUAGCUUCCUUGGUUGCAAAUGGAAAGAUCUAGAAGCUACAAGUAUAUGGCUAGUCUAGAUUUUUCUAUACUAGAGGUUUGAAGAAGGAACUAGAAACUAGUAGAAUGCCAAACCCUCACCUAUAAAUAUGGGUGUGAUGUAACCAAUUGAGAACCAAGAGUGAGUAGCAAAGGAUCAAGUCCAAAGCUAGAGUUCCACUCCAAGAGUGAGAGUGAGAGUGUUCCACUACACAUUGUGUGAGUGAAGUUUAGAGUGAUAGAAAGUGUGUGUUAUACUUUCUUGUAUCCAUCAAGCCUUGUCUUUGGCUUGGUAAGACUACUCUUGUUGUAUUCAUCUUUUUCAUAUAGUGAAGAUUGAUCCUUGUUUGGUGGACGUAGGCAUAAAUUGCCGAACCACAUAAACUUUUCUUGGCGUCCAUUUUCUACUUUACCUUGUGCAUUCUCUAUCUUGUAGUACCGACAUUCCUAACAAGUGGUAUCAGAGCCCGGUUGGCUCGUACUACGAGAUGGAAGGAAGUGGCACUAUGAUCAAACUCACCAACUCCAAUUGGGUAACAUGGAAGCCAAGGAUGGAGGACAUUCUCUAUUGCAAGGAUUUGCAUGAGCCAAUUGAAGGAGAUGCCGCUAAGCCCGAGAGCAUGUCCGAUGCCGAGUGGAAGAAGAUGAAUCGCAAGGCUAUUGGCACAAUUAGACAAUGGGUGGACGAUAGUGUUUUUCACCAUGUGUCUAAUGAAACCAAUGCUCGCGAGUUUUGGACAAAGCUUGAGUCCUUGUUCGAGAAGAAAACUCCAGCUAAGAAAGCCUUCUUGAUCAAAGAGCUCAUCAAUGUGAAGUACAAGGAUGGUUUAAGUGUAGCAGAACACUUGAACAAUUUCCAGAAUAUCAUCAACCAGUUGGCUACUAUGAAAAUGAUGAUCGAGGACGAGCUACAAGCGCUCUUGUUACUUGGAUCCUUGCCAGACAGUUGGGAGACCUUUGUGGUGAGUAUAAGUAACUCUGCUUCUAAUGGUGUUCUUACUCUUGAUAAUGUUAAAAAUAGCAUGCUCAAUGAAGAAACAAGGAGAAAGACUUCUGGCACAGAUAGCAGCCAAGUAUUUGUCACAGAGAACCGCGGAAGAAGCAAGAGUAGAGGGCCUAGAGGUCAUGGCAGGAGUCCUAGCCGAUCCAAGUCAAAGUUCAGGGGUGCAUGCCACCACUGUGGCAAAGAAGGCCAUAUGAAGAAAAAUUGUCGAGUUUGGAAGAGAGAGCAAAGGGAAGGAAACAAUCAGAAGAAAGAUGAUACUGGCAAUACCACCGCUGUCAUCUGUGGUGAUGUACCAGAAAUAUUGUCUGUUGGUGAAUGUCUGCAUAUGGGCAACUCUGACAGAGACAUUGAAUGGAUCUUUGAUAAUGGAGCUUCCUUCCAUGCUACGUCCAAACGGGAGUUCUUCAGUACAUACAAAGAAGGUGACUUUGGCAUAGUGAAGAUGGGGAAUGAAAGCUAUUCCAAAAUUCUUGGAAUUGGUGAUAUCUGCUUAAGAACUAAUCUCGGCUGCCAAUUGAUGUUGAAAGAUGUGAGACAUAUUCCUGAUAUACGUCUCAAUCUGAUAUCCAUCGGUACCCUUGAUCGACAAGGAUAUUAUCACCAUAUUGGCGAAGGAAAAUUGAAGCUUACUAAAGGCUUAAUGGUGGUAGCAAAAGCACGACUUUGUUGUACGUUGUACCGGUCAAAUGCACAGGUUUUUGAAAGGUGAGUUGAAUGCUGUGGAGGACUCAUCUCUAGACUUAUGGCAUAAGAGGCUGGGCCACAUAAGCGAGAAAGGCCUACAAGUUUUGGCAAAGAAGUCUCACAUUCCCUUUACCGAAGGUACGUCGUUAAACUCUUGUGAGCAUUGUUUAUUCGGAAAACAAAGAAGAGUUAGUUUUUCUGUUCCAUCUACAAAGAAAGGAAACUUGUUAGAUCUUGUUUAUUCAGAUGUGUGUGGUCCCAUGGAAGUCGAGUCACUUGGAAGAAAUAAAUAUUUUGUUACUUAUAUUGAUGAUGAUGCUUCACGAAGGGUGUGGGUGUAUUUGUUGAAAUCCAAAGACCAGGUGUUUCAGACAUUCCAGGAGUUCUAUGCCAUGGUGGAGAGGGAAACUGGGAAACCUCUCAAGUGCCUUCGUAGCGACAACGGCGGCGAGUACACAUCUCACCAGUUUAGAGAGUAUUGUGUAAAACAUGGCAUACGUCAUGAGAAGACAGUUCCUGGAACUCCACAACAUAACGGUGUUGCUGAAAGAAUGAACCGAACCAUCAUGGAGAAAGUCAGGUGUAUGUUGAGGACUGCAAAGUUAUCUAAGCAGUUCUGGGGUGAAGCUGUAAGGACAGCCUGCUAUUUGAUCAACCGAUCUCCAUCAGUACCAUUAGGUCUUGAUGUUCCAGAGAGAGUAUGGACUGGUAAUGAUGUGUCUUACUCUCAUCUGAAGGUGUUUGGUUGCAAAGCUUUUGUGCAUGUGCCCAAAGAGCAGAGAUCGAAGUUAGACUACAAAGCUACACCGUGCAUCUUUCUUGGUUAUGGCGGUGAAGAUUUUGGUUACAGAUUAUGGGACCCAUACCAGAAGAAGUUUAUCCGAAGUAGAGACGUGGUCUUUUAUGAAGAACAAACAAUUGGGGAUUCGGAUAAAGAGGCACAACCAGAUGGCGCAGUCAGAGGAGUUGAUCCAUUAGCUUCAGAUGAAGAAAGUCACGAUGACAUCCCUGAAGCAACUGCCAAUGAAGUGCCUGCAGAAUCAGAUAAUGCUAAUCAAGAGGAGCCUGAUCAAGAUGUGCCAAACCAUGAGAUUGCUCAUCAGGGGAGCCUAGUCAAGAAGAGCAUAUUCAAGGAGAACCCAAUCAGGGGGAGCCUCCAGCCCUACAAGAGAAUGAAGAUCAGGUCAGAAGAUCCAUCAGAAGUCGAAGACCGUCUACCAAGUAUUCUUCAUCAGAGUAUAUCAUGUUGACUAAUUAUGGAGAGCCCGAAACAUAUGAGGAGGCCAGAGCUCAUAACGACAGUGACAAAUGGAUGAAGGCAAUGGAGUCGGAGAUGGAUUCCUUAUCAAAGAAUGAUACCUAUGAGCUGGUGGAGCUUCCAAAGGGCAGGAAAGCAUUGAAAAACAAGUGGGUGUUCAAAUUGAAAAGAGACGACAACAUGACAAGGUACAAGGCUCGUUUGGUUGUCAAAGGUUUUGGUCAAAAGAAAGGAGUUGACUUUGAUGAGAUUUUCUCACCGGUGGUGAAGAUGACUUCCAUUCGAGUUAUCCUUGGUAUGGCAGCAAGCAUGGAUCUUGAGCUCGAGCAGUUAGAUGUUAAAACUGCAUUUCUCCACGGCAAUUUAGAAGAGGAGAUAUACAUGGAGCAACCCAAAGGCUUUGAAGUCAAAGGUAAAGAAAAUUUGGUGUGCAAGCUCAAGAAAAGUUUAUAUGGUCUUAAGCAGGCUCCGAGACAGUGGAAUAAGAAGUUCAACUCACUCAUGGUGAGUAAUGGGUACAAGAGAACUCAUGCUGACUCUUGUGUCUAUAUCAAACAAUUUUCUGGAGGUAAAUUCAUCAUCUUAUUGCUUUAUGUUGAUGACAUGUUGAUUGUCGGACAAGAUACCUCUAUGAUUAAAAAGCUCAAAGAAGAGUUAUCUAAGUCCUUUGACAUGAAGGACUUAGGGCCAGCCAAGCAGAUUUUGGGCAUGGAUAUAAUUCGUGACAGAAAAUCCAAAAAGUUGUGGCUGUCACAAGAAAAGUAUGUUGAACGGGUGCUUGAAAGGUUCAACAUGAAAGCAGCCAAAUCGGUAAGCUCACCUUUAGCCAAUCAUAUCAAGUUGAGCAAAGAGUCAUGUCCAAAAACAUAUUGAAGAAAAGGAGAAAAUGGCAGUUGUUCCCUACUCUUCAGCAGUAGGAAGUAUCAUGUAUGCAAUGGUGUGCACACGGCCAGAUAUUGCUCAUGCAGUAGGUGUGGUGAGCAGGUUUCUCUCUAAUCCAGGGAAGGACCACUGGGAAGCUGUUAAGUGGAUUCUCAGAUAUUUGAAAGGGACUUCUAAGAUGUGCUUGUGCUUUGGCGGUUCCAAACCAAUCUUGGAAGGAUUUACAGAUGCUGACAUGGGAGGUGACCUGGAUGGUAGAAAAUCUACGUCUGGGUACUUGUUUACUUUUACAGGGGGAGCCGUGUCUUGGCAAUCCAAGUUACAAAAGUGCAUUGCUUUGUCCACAACCGAGGCUGAAUACAUAGCCGCUACAGAAGCAUGCAAGGAGUUGUUGUGGCUGAAGCGGUUUCUCCAAGAGUUGGGUUUGAAGCAAAGUGAUUAUGGCGUUUAUUGUGAUAGUCAGAGUGCUCUGGACUUGAGCAAGAACACUACAUAUCAUUCACGCACUAAGCACAUUGAUAUUCGUUAUCAUUGGAUUAGAGACGCUAUCGAGAACAAGUUGCUGCAGCUGAAGAAGAUUCAUACCGAUAAUAAUUCUUCAGACAUGUUGACAAAGGUAGUCACAAAAUCAAAGUUGGAAUUCUGCAUUAAGGCUGCUGGGAUGAACUCCAGGUAACUUGGAGUCAUGAUCGGAAUUCCUCCCUCAUGGACUGGAGGGGGAGAUUGUUGGUAUAUGGUCCAGCCCAUGAUCAAUGUUCUAGAUUAUUCUAGUAAGCAAGAGAUGAGGCUGAAGCUUGCUAGACAAUUCUAGAAUGUUAUUAAGUUGAUGGAAGAAGCUAGAGAGUACUAGCUUCCUUGGUUGCAAAUGGAAAGAUCUAGAAGCUACAAGUAUAUGGCUAGUCUAGAUUUUUCUAUACUAGAGGUUUGAAGAAGGAACUAGAAACUAGUAGAAUGCCAAACCCUCACCUAUAAAUAUGGGUGUGAUGUAACCAAUUGAGAACCAAGAGUGAGUAGCAAAGGAUCAAGUCCAAAGCUAGAGUUCCACUCCAAGAGUGAGAGUGAGAGUGUUCCACUACACAUUGUGUGAGUGAAGUUUAGAGUGAUAGAAAGUGUGUGUUAUACUUUCUUGUAUCCAUCAAGCCUUGUCUUUGGCUUGGUAAGACUACUCUUGUUGUAUUCAUCUUUUUCAUAUAGUGAAGAUUGAUCCUUGUUUGGUGGACGUAGGCAUAAAUUGCCGAACCACAUAAAUUCUUGGCGUCCAUUUUCUACUUUACCUUGUGCAUUCUCUAUCUUGUAGUACCGACAUUCCUAACAAAAGUAUUGUUCAUAGUAAAAAGUACGGGCAAGCCAACUGCCUUGUUCUUACACUUGCGUUCUCCAAACGGGUGAAACUGCUAUUAUGAUCGGUCUGAAGUAGACGCGCUUAUUCUUGCGUGAGGAAAUUAUCAGUCUCCUUAACAAGAUAACAGCUAACUGGAGCUGAAGUUGGGGAUCCGGAACCCAUCAUGUAGCUUUUCAUAUUGUAGAACCAAAUUCACCACGCUGCCCUCAUCAUGAACGCCUAAUUUUGGAGUAACUUGUAAAGUGAUCUUAAAGCUCUUGUAUCGAUCUAGAGGGUUUCCUUCAAGCACUGUGAAAGUCACCGAAUGAUUUACAUCGUCUAUGGCUUCAGUUAACUCCUUGGAAAAAGUUGGUUUCCCAUCUGCUAACAUUUCAUCACAAAUCAAUUACUUGCUUCAUCCACAAAAAAACAUGUCGACAUAUAUAGUAAGAGAACAAUCUUUCAGCCACACUUACCUUCAAUAUAAUCCCACAAGAAGACACAACCCACUUUACCCCAUUCACCUUCAAGUAAUUUAUGACUCGGAACUUUGUCGGGGCUGAUGUUGCAUAUUUCGUACGGUGUUCGUGCAAAGAAUUCAUGGAACCUGUUUGCUUCAGACUUGAUUUCAACACUCGUCUCCACCUUGCUAGAAUUUGACAUUUUCCACAAGUACCAGAGUUGAAGGAAAAACGACUUUGGUGGUUCCCAACGUGAAAAUGGCGGGGUUUAGUGCAGCAACAAAGAAAAUGGCGGUGGCUGCUGCAAAUGGAUGUGGUGAUUCCCUCUCCCGCAGAAAAGAAGAUAAGUUUUUCUUACAAUAUUCUAAUUAUUCUCCAUGAUGAUGUCUGCCAUCUGCAAUAAAAAAAUAAUAAAAAGAAAAAAGACAGCCACUGAUGAUUGGUGAAGUGACGAGAUAAUCAUCAACUAGCUCAGCUCCACCCUCAGCACAACUGUGACGAAACCCACUUUUCUGAGAAAAUCACGAGAAAAGCAGAAAGCAAAAGAUAAAGCAAAAGGAAGACACAUGGGGACACUGCAAAAGUAAGGAAUAAACAUCCCACCAGAAUGAUGUAAUUUAUUUUUAUUAUCUUUCGGAGACAUCUGUAUAAACCCCAUCAGAGGGUAAUUAAAAAAAAAAAGCCCAAAAUAAUGGGCUGCAAACCCAAAAUAAGGGGCUACAAUGUCAUGGGCGAAGGCCCAUAUGCCCAAAAGACCCAUACCCUCUAUUACCACCAACCAGGUGAUCAAAAGUACGCCCAGUACUCCACAAUUAUUCGACAACCUGCCGCUAUUACCACCAACCAGGUGAUGAAAUGUACAACCCGUACUCUAAAAUCAUUUGGCAACUAGUCAUUCAUGCCACCAACCAGGUGAUGAAAUGUACAACCCGUACUCUCCUUCAUGCCACCAACCAGGUGAUCAAAAGUAUGCCCAGUACUUCAUAUUAUACAUGAACAUUACUCAUGUCAAUCAUACACAAACAUUCAUGAGUAUCACUCAUAUCAAUCAUACAUAUACAUUCAUGAGUAUCACUCAUGUCAACAUUCAUGAGCAUCACUCAUGUCAACAUCCAUGAGCAUCACUCAUAUCAAUCAAACAUUCAUGAGCAUCACUCAUGUCAAACAGCUUCAAAAGCUUCAUUUACAAAAGCUCUAGCUUCAAAAGCUUCAUUUACAGAGCUUCAGCUUCAAAGCUUCACUUAUAAAGCUUCAGUGCAGGGUAUACAAAUACCGCCUCCGAACAACCGCCACUUCGGCCCAUACAUGGAUUCAAUUUGAAGUCUCCAGCUAACAGACUCUAUUGACCGAAAAGACUUGGGGGACUACAUUAUAUACCAUAUAUUGGGCCUCAACUGGGCCUCAUAAAAAAUACUUGGGGGACUUAGCCCAUUAUCUAUGUACUGAGGAGCGAACCCUUAUUCUAUAAAAGGGACUUCCUCACUUUCAUUAGAGAGCAUCGCCGCCAGCUGAGCAACCGCCUCGCCGCGAGCAUCACUCCUAACCCAUCACUUAUGUAUUGAGGAGUGGGCCCUUAUUCUAUAAAAGGGACUCCAUCACCAUCAUUAGAGAGCAUCAACUCUAGCCCAUUAUCUAUGUACUGAGGAGCGAGCCCUUAUUCUAUAAAAGGGACUCCAUCACUUUCAUUAGAGAGCAUCGCAGCCAGCUGAGCAACCGCCUCGCCGCGAGCAUCACUCCUAACCCAUCACUUAUGUAUUGAGGAGCGGGCUCUUAUUCUAUAAAAGAGACUCCCUUACCAUCAUUAGAGAGCAUCAACUCUAGCCCAUCAUUCAUGUAUUGAAGAGCGAGCCCUUAUUCUAUAAAAAUGACUCUCUCACCUUCAACGCCACAAGCCGAGCCAACCAAGGCAACAUAAGCCACGAGCCGAGCAGCCUCGCAGCAUGUGCUACUUCUAGUUGAGCAUCAUCUCAGAUUGAGCACCGCCUCAUAUCGAACAUCAGUUCAAGACAACGUCUAGUUACUUCGGCCCACACAUGGACUGAAUUUCAAGUCUCCAGCCAAAAGACUCUCUUGACUGAAGACUUGGGAGACUACUGUUUAUACCAUAUUUAGGGCCUCGUAUUUAGAUCUUGUACAAAUACUCAGGGGACUUAAAUGUAAUUAUGUGAUAAAAGAAGGGGCAAAUAUGUAAUAAGUGAGGAGUCCUUAUUCUAUAAAAGGACCCCUCACCCUCACAAUUAGAGGAGGCCAAUUCCUAGGCCCUCUCACCCCCUCUCAACGCUCUCACUAUCAGUGCUCCCUCUCCCUCAGAUAAAUACAUAAUCAAAGUGGACGUAGCCCAAACCUUGGGGUGAACCACGAUACAUCUUGUGUCAUUUACAUUACUUGCAGAUUCACGGUCGGAUUUACGUUGUUCCAAAACCUCCGGUUUUGUGCAUCAACAGCCCUUACAUUUAUAUAGAAGAAAAGAGGGAAACAAAAACUUUACAAGAACCUAACAAUUUGCCCAUGCCAUCAGACAUGGAUGUAUUUAUUCACUAAAAAAAAUGCGUUAGUUGUAUUAUUUUACUAGAACCGAACAAUUUGCCCAGUAGACAUGGAUGGUGGAAUAUCUUGAUCAAUAUUAUUCCUCGUUUGCUCUCGUCGUUUCUAAGAAAACAAUGUUUUGUGGUUUUAUUAAAUAGCUGGAGACAAAAUGUUUCGAUCUUGUUCGUUUCUCUGUUUGUAUGCUUUUAUACAUGUUAUUUCUAAACAAUUUGUUUGUUUUAUGGUGGGCAUCUUUAAAAGUAAGAUACCCAUUUGUUUUUAAAGAAAUGUUAUUGUCACCUAAAAAUUUAAGUGUGUAUUUAUAAUUAUUUAUAUUUAAAAAAAAAUAUUCUUACAAUGAAUGUACAAUUAGAUUUUUGUAGUGUAAAUUUUCUGUCUUCAAUUUCGACUACUCGAAAUAUAUGAUCCGAUUGACCCCCAAACAUUGAGGUUUAAAUAUUUAUGGCUGGGGAAGACGAAUUCACCCAAACCUCGAACUCCUUUUCUUAGGAAAUAAAUUGAAAGUUAUAAUCUAAGGCCAAAUUCAAACCGAAACAACAACAUUCUAUUCUAUAAUUUCUCCUAGUCCUGAUCGGUUAGGGAUUCUAGUUAGUUCGUUUACAAACUACGUUGGCUAAUAUAUUUCAGUUACAACUUCAUAUAUAAAUGCAUUCUUCGUCGAAUUAACAAAUAAUCAGUUUGUAUCUAUAUAUAUAAAGUGAGAGCCCUAGUUUGGUGAAGCAUUUGAUAAACCAAAAAUGCCCUCACUUCAUACACUAUACCAACGUUAAUUGUCCAAUAAAAUUAGGGUCAAAAUUGUAAUAUAAUACAACGAAAUUCUACUGUGCGAAUAAUACAUGCACUCAUCUGAACAAUGACAAUUUUCAACCACUAGAUAAAAAUAUACACACUUAAAAUUCAUUGUGACCCUUAGAUCAAUCCUCCCACAAAUACUGCAUCACAUUCUAUCUUUCCACCAAAACCAAAAUAACAAAUAAAUUGAUAAAAACUGACAAACACUCCCUCCAAAUUAGAGUAGAACUGUCAAACACGUUGUCGCACAAAACAGAACACCGGUUGCAGCAGUUGCAAAGAUCGGAGAUAGAACCACCAAUCUACCACACGUUCUAGAGGGGAUAGCGAUCAUUCCAACCCCAAAUGCACAGAAAAGAGGAAGAACUCAUUUUCGUCUUCUGCACAAACCUCUCAUCCACGUGUUUUUCCAGAGUUUCUUCUGCAUCCACACUCAAUUUACACAAAUUCAGGUGAUUUUUUUUUCAUAAUUUCUACCCUCCAAUUAAGUAAUAUUACCCACAUGAAUCUGCUUUUCCGCUUGUUUUGUUUAUUAUUCUAUAUAAUUUAAUAAGGAAAUUCGAAUCAUUGAUGGCGUAGGAUGGGAUUGCUGGGCGUUCAAAAUUGCUCAGUGAUUAGUACUUAAUCGACCACACUGCUUAUAUUAUUUAAACUUAAUUGUUGUCAUAUGGGUUUUUCUGGAUUCCAUUUCUCUUAUUUAUGUGAUUUGAGUCAGUGGUAGUCAGGUGCAUGCAAUGAGAGACAUUUGAGGCUAUAGCUGGGAAUUUGGUUUCUAUAAAAUUACUUCUGCAAUUGGUCAGAAUUUAUAGGAGUUACUAAAAUUACCCCAUUACCAGUUUUUGUUUUACUAUAGUUGGUAAUGAUUUGUAAGCAGAUUGUACAUUGAGGUAAUGUGUGAAUUGAAUUCUGAUGGUUAAACUAAUACGACAAACUGGUAAAAAACCAUCACUGAAAAAAGAUAAAGCAUCACAACUGUAGAGUUUUGCCUAAUGAAGAAUUAGAACCGCGACGUGGGAUUCAACCACCCUCCACGUUCUGCAAACUACAAACCAGAUUGACAAAGACUCUUCCUCUACAGAAAACGAGGGGAGGGAGAAAUAGAGAUACAUAUUGACAAAGACUCUUCCUCUACAUCGACUGAUUCUUAUCGCAGGUAACUUUCAAACUUGAUUCUCAAUUUUCUAUGUAUUCCUUCCAGCGUUUGUUCAAACUUUCAAACUUGACUCUACUCGCCGUGAUCAACAACUGCAGCUUCUUGAAACAGCCUUUCACUCGUCAUAAACGACAAGUGUGGCUUCUUUACCAGUAUGUUUAUUAGUCUCUUUUCUAAUCAAAUUCAUUGCCAUUAAUUAACUGUUUCUCAUCGAUCAUUCAUUUCUGAUCAUAUUUUCAAUUUCCGUUCUAUUCCCAUUUAUACAUCUUUUUCAAUUGUGUAUGAAUUAUUUGCUUUGAUGAAGCAGAAUUAGAUUUGCGUUCAUAUUCAAUUCUAAUUAAUUGACGAUGUCCUUUGAGAGCGAGCCCAAACUAUCUAGCGAUUCGAUAUAAUCGGAGAAAGAUUUUCCAGGGUGAACCAUAUCCUUUACCUGACUAUUGAGCCGUAAAGUUUCCGGUUUCUUAAGGUUUCGGAUAUCCACUCAAUCUAUUGGGACCUGUCUGGAAAUCCCCACAGCCAUGUGACUUGCGAUUCUUCUUCUUAAUAAACGACUUAGUUUUUGCAUUUUUUGUUCGAAUUCAAAGUUUUUUUUAUACAAAUUUGAAGCUUUUCUUCAAGCUUAUUCAUUAUAUAGAUUCCAAAAUUUUUAAAUCCUCUCAAAGUAGUAGGGAUUUGGAAAUGAACUCUGCUAGAGAAGGUGGCUUGCGUUGAAAUUACCAUAAUAACAGUGUUGGGUUGGGAAUUUUUUACUGGUUUUUUAUUUAAUAUGUUUUGAAUCUUAUCUUGCAACCUGUUGUUUUUCUUCAUGGGGUUCAGGAGGAGGAACUUCACCAAGUAUUCAAAGUAAUCAAAGAUUCUUCAAUCCCGAGUUUUACCGAUCAUUCUGUUUGAUCAGGUUGCUACUUCACCCUUUAUGAUAAGUUAUUAGAUGCAUUUCAGUGUGUCCUGCAUUUGAUAACUGAGUUAUUUCGUUAUUGCUAGAAAGGUAAAUUUUACGCUAGAUUGCAAUGCAAGGUAUGUAACUCGAUAGUUUGAUGAGUUUGAAUUAUUUUUUUUAUUAGGGCUGUUGCUACUUAUUUAAUUAUGCUUGGCAAUUAGCCUGCUUGAUCGGGGGUAUGAUCGUUGUGAAUGCCGUAUGAUUGCAAUGGCAAAAUUUUAUUGAUUCAAGUGUGAAAUAGAUAAACAAAUAAGAAAAAACCAUGUUCAUGCGUAAACCAUGUCAUUGUCAUUGAAAAAACUAUAGGUAACCCUCUAAAAAUUAAUAGAUGAAGUCAAUGGAAUUGAGAGCUAUGUAAUCCAAGUCCCAGUUGCAUAUGUUAUUGGUGCAUUCAAGAGCUAGCUAAUUGAGGAAGAAAUUCAGAGGUUGAUGUAAGUUGUCUGCAAAGCAUCAUAACCUAGGGUUGAAGCACUUAGCUUUUCUCUACCCUCUUCCAUAUAAUUAGGAUUACAAGUUGUUUUAGAUAUUCAGUUAAUUUUGAAGCCAUUGGCAAUGUUUCAGUUGCAGAGUUUGAUUUAUCAAUUAUCUGCUAAAUGCAUGGAAUUUCAUCUUUUUUACUUUCAAUUUUGGGUCAAAUGUUGGGAAAUUUUUACUGGUUUUUUUAUAUAAUAUGGUUUAAAUCUUAUCUUGCAGCCUGUAGUUUUUCUUCAUGGGGUUCAGGUGGAGGAACUUCACCAAGUAUUCAAAGUAAUUAAAGAUUCUUCAAUCCCGAGUUUUACCGAUCAUUCAAUUUGAUCAGGUUGCUACUUCAUCCUUUAUGAUAAGUUAUUAGAUGCAUUUUAGUUUGUGAAACUAGGAAGGGCAUUCUUUUUGCUUAGUUGUAAGAUACUUGAGAAGCCGAAUAUUACACUUAAUCAAAGAACCGAAAUGGCAAUGUGCUAUUUCACUUUGUUUCUUUGAUGACUCAAAAUUGUAAUAUGAUUGAACUGAAUGAUUACCUGUUUUCAUCUGCAUCUCCAGAUUCAUUUCUUUCAUUUUUAGAAUCAUCAACUCCAUGAUUACCUGUUUUCUUUCAUAUAUGUUUUUCUUUUACUAAUUUAUGUUUUAACUUUUCGUUCUCUUUCAAUUUUCGUAAAUCUGAGUUUUAGAAAACACAUACAAUUCAUGUUACUAACAAAACUUUUGAUGCUUUUACACACUCAUUGGGAUUGUGUAAUGGUACAAGAUUAUUGUGUCGUGGUAAUUACCAAAAUCUUAUUGAUGCUGAAAUUCUAACUGGACAAUUUGUCGGAUCCAAAGUUUUCUUACCAAGAAUCCCUCUCAAAAGUACUAAUACUGCUGGGCUUCCAUUUAAACUUACAAGAAAGUAGUUUCCAGUGAAACUAAGUUUCUCUAUCACUAUAAACAAAUCUCAAGGUCAGACAAUACCACAUGUAGGCAUUUACCUUCCAGAUCACAUCUUCAGUCAUGAACAAUGAUAUGUGGCUUUAUCGAGGGGGGUCUCAAAGUCAACCACAACCGUGUUAGUAAAAAAUGGCUCCAUAAUCAGCCAACAAGGUGUAUUUACACGGAAUGUAGUAUACAAAGAAGUCUUGCUUCAUUCCAGCUAAUUAUGGUGAUUUCUAAUAGGUAACAAUUUUAUUAUCGAUAACCUUUCAGUAUGCAUUUCUCACUUAUCAAUUAACUCUUUUUAUUUGAUUUUUAAUUUUCUCACUAUCAUUUGUAGAUUGGCAAUGAAAAUUUGAAGCAUCAAUCAUGAACAAAUGGGUGGAAAUUGCAGCAUUGAUAUCAAAAUGAAAACUUUUUUUUCAAAAGAAACGGUGACAUAUAGACUCUAUGGGUAUUGUGAAUAAUGUACAUAUUGUUAUGCAAGAUUUAUAUUUUGACAUUUAAGUUGUUUUGUAUUUUUCUACGAGUAAUGUUUUCAUCUACUCUUUUUUUUACAUCUACUUACUAUUGUCCAUGGACUUUAGGUAGGAACUUGCGUCUAAAAUCCCAUGUUGUUUGACAAGUGCAUGAAUAACAUUUAAAUCAUUACUUUACGCAAAGUAAAAACGAAAAACAUGAUAACUUUUUAGGAUAUGCAUGAUAAAAAAAGAGUUCCUCUUUGCACAAUACAUUUAAAAUAUAUCUUGACAAUUACGAUGGGAAAAACUAACACAAUACACAUUUAGGGGCGCGUAGCACCCGUGAUGUAAAAAUGCCUCUCGCACGCACAUUAGUGGGUGCGGAGAGGCUAGUAAUUAAUUAAGAACAAGAGGACUCGAAACAGAAGCAGCAAAACAUGACCAUGACCAACAACGACAACGUUUUGGAGCCGCCCAUCAAUUUCUCGAUGGUGGAUGAGGGCGUAUUCCGAUCAGGCUUCCCGCAGCCGUCAAACUUCCCAUUCCUCCAAUCCCUUCAACUCCGUUCCAUUAUCUAUCUCUGCCCCGAGCCCUACCCGGAGGAGAGUUUGGAGUUUCUUCGGUCGCAAGGCAUUCGGCUCUUCCAGUUCGGAAUCGAGGGCAAGAAGGAGCGGUCUACGUCUCCGCUGAUUCCAGCAGAGACCAUCUCCGAGGCACUGAAAGUUUUGGUUGAAAUUGAGAAUCAUCCGGUGUUGAUCCACUGCAAACGCGGCAAGCAUCGGACUGGUUGUCUGGUGGGUUGCCUGAGGAAAUUUCAGAAUUGGUGUUUGUCUUCGGCGUUAGAGGAGUACCAGCGGUUUGCCGGCGAAAAAUCUAGGGGGACGGAUUUGAGAUUUAUCGAGACGUUUGACGUAUUGGGCCUCAGGGGGGAUGCCUUCACGGCAUUGUCCGCCAUUAUUAUUAAGUUUAUGCUUCCGGAAAGAGGCGGUUGUUGUACAAACAAGAGUUGCAAACCCAUAAACCCUAGGUGAUGUUUUAGUUUUUACGUGUUGAAAUUUUAUGCCCUUUUAGUUGUACCAUAAUGAAAAUUCAUUCAUUCGCUUAGUGACGGGUCCCACGUAUGGGAGUGAUUUUUUUGUUGUUGUUGAUUUAGCAUAAUCACGAAAUUUAGACAUGCUUAUAAAUUUAGUCCUCAAUUUAGGAGUAGGAAAUUUUUAAGAAUAUAUGGACAUGCAUGUUUACUUAAAAAAUUAGAAUGAAAAAUUAUGAAUGGAGAAAGUCAAAAAUACAAUGAAAGAAAUUCAUAUAAAAUUAACUACCCCUGAUAAAUUUGAUACCUGGAAUGAGAAUAAAAAGUCAUGAAUUGAGAAGUUGGAAAUAAGAUAGAAUAAAUCCGUACGAAAUCAACUACUCCCUGAUAAAUUUGAUUCUUGGCAUGAGAAGUCAUGAAUUGAUACGAAGUCUAAUUCUAAUUCUUUUGACAUAUUUUUUUCUAUUUUUAUUUUAUUUUUUAGUUGUUAAAUUAUCAAUGUAAAGUAGAACUCAAAUACUUUUUGACUCCACAUAACCACAUAAAAAUCAAGAAUUGAAACAGAGUAAUUCUAAUACUAAUUCGUACUCUAUCCUAGUGCAAAAAGUUAGAAUUGUAAAAAUUUAGAGCUGAUCUUGGUGAAAUAUAGAACGUCAUAGGACCAUGAUUCUGGAACUCCUUUCCCUCCUUCGACUGUGGUCGGCCUGGGUCAGAUUUCUUCGUUCAGGGAUUUACCUGUUCUGAAUAGUCUGCCCUUGAUGGGUCAACUCUAGUUAGUUAAUCCAAGCAUAGGAAGAUGAGACAAAAUACACACAAAGUUGUUAGGAUAUCUUUUCUUUUUAUAUUUGAGCGAUAUUCUAGUCUAAUCCAAAUUCAUGGAAGGAGGAUUCAAAUUUGGCUACAAUCGGAUUCACAUAUUAGGAUUGAUUUUAAAUUAAAUCCAGGUUGAUAAAAAUAUUUCAAAAUUUUUAAUGGAAACUUUUUUGUGAAGGUAUUGAAGUUGGGAUUGAAACAGAAGAUAGAGCGUAAUAUAAAGUUACAAUAACAUGUUCUAUUAAAUGAAAGUGACUAAAUAUUGAAAAAAAUGCUACACUGCGUGAUCAACUCCGGCAACGAGCAUUAGCACUGCAUCCACGGUUGUAGGGAUUACUCUGAUUCUGAGCACCCGGCUUGCAGUUGUUGGAGGAAGCACCUCUCUGAGAGCAAGGCACAGUGUUUCUCUGCAGAGCUUCAUAGCUUAUGUUUCGUGAGGUGGCCAAGAUGCGCCUGCUAAUCUCCGAGUCCAUGCCAAAUUCAUCAUCACGAUCAUCCAUACACUCUGCUACAGAACCCUCGCGGCGAGGUCUCACUGGAACCCAGCUCACCCCAUGAUCGCCGCCUGCAUCAACGGAGAUGAUCAGAGCGGCCACGAAGGCCAAGGAAAAGAUAAUCGCUGAGGAAUUGGCCAUAGGUUUUGGUAUGGUCUGUGUUUUUAGCUGCCAACUUGUAUUUUGUUGUACGCCUGUUUAAUUACUGAGGGAGACAGAUGGGGCGGCAAGAGAGAGAAGAGUUGGUGAAUUCUGAUGUAUAUAUUAUUGCACUCUAUUGUGUUAUUUAUAGUAGUAAAAAGUAUAAAAAAGGGAAAGUCCUAAGGGAAAAUCCUUAUCUUUCAGGCAAUCCAUCUUAAAUAACACACAAUCUACAAGAUAUUCUGCAGUCCCAUAAGGAUUUUUUACACAAAAAUUCCUAGUAAGUUUGGACUUUGAUACAUUUAAAUUUGAUUAAAUGGAAAAUUGGAUGCUGAUUUCUUCAAGGAGGUGAUUGUGGAUGCAAAUUUCUUCCUCCUUGAUCUUGGACAAAAUUGGACCUACAAAACAAUUAACACCUUAGGGUCAAGGCCAAGAGCCUCACGUGUCCACGAUGAACGCGGGGGGGGGGGCUUUGGCCGUUUGGCCGAAGAACCUCUGAUGCCAAAGUUAGAAUUUAGAGAGAAAAGUGUUUAGAGAGUAUUGGGAAUUUUGCGUGUUGGACCUAGGUUUUGGUGAAAAUGGGAGCCAAUACAUAGGGCAUAGGGUGUAACUUAUGGUUUAAUGUGUGAUUUAAUGGAUUAAUUAGGCAAUUAAUCGAUUAAUUGGUUAAUCAACACAUUUUUGGCAUAAAUAUUUUGGGGGUUAUGUAAUUUAUACCUUGUGGAAAAUAUAGGAUGAGGAUGGAUGAAAUAACUUUGAAUUUGUUACUUAUUUUGGGCAUGCUUGAUUUGGUUGAAGGAUGAUUGCCCGCUACUCGCGCGUAGGAAUCCCGUUGUACCUCAAGGGUAUUUUUGUCUUCUUUUGUCCAAAAAUCCACGUGUCGCCUUGUGAUUAUUUUUGGCUCCAUAGUGAUUACUUAAAUGACUUGCACUAAUUAGCCUUAGGGCUAGUUUGGUAUUACUGUGCUUUGAAAAAAACUGCUUCUGCUGUGCUGCGAAAAUAAACAACUGUGAAAUAAAGCGGUAGAGUGUUUGGUAAACUUUUUUGUAAAAAUGCUUUUAGCAAAAAAAUCAGUGUUAAAGUGUUUGGUAAAUUUUUAUAUAAAACUGCUGUGAUUAGGUUAAAUGACUAAAAAUGAUAUAAUGUUAAAUUUAAUAUAUAAUUUUUUAUUUUUUAAUCUCUAUAAUUGUUGAGUCAUCCAAACUCUUCCAUUUUCCAAAUCCCAUUUAUAAUUCUAGAGUCAUCCUUUUCGCCUAAUUUUUUUUUUCAUCUGACGUUCAGAUCCGAUACGUUAGCGUUCCGUUGGUUAUCAGACAGGAUCAAACUAAGCGUAGGCUGUUUCCGGAUCAGAUCUAGUCGAAGAGCUCUCCCCUAUCGUACUUAACUUGAAUAAGGCAGUUUCCCACUAGCCGCUUAAAGGAGUACUCAAGGAUUACCCUAUUACCGAUCUCGAACUGGCCUCCUACUGUCCUCGCUAAGAAAGAGUCUGCCCGCUUAAUUCAAUGAAGUAGUUGAUAUUUAUCUAUUAAAGUAAUUUAUCAAUUACGGCAUUCAAGGUCGGAUGAUAACAGUUCUCUUUACCCAAGAAGCUCGGGGAAAGGAAACAGAAGCCAUGCAGACUGAAAUUGACGAACUCCCCACCCACACUAAAAAGCAAAUAAAGACCCAUGUUUAGCGUCCUCCACUCUAAGGACCACAUCAUCCAGAAGUUCAAUCUCAUUUACCUCAAGAUCAUCGACAAGAUCGAUCUUCCAAUUUCUGAGACUGAUAUUUCUACCAUUUUUUCCCCUAGUUAUAUAACUUCCACUACCACUAGUUUCCCAGUUUCAUCUCCCCUACCAUCCAUGGCGUCUGCAAGCUCUCACAAACACCCAUCUCUUCUGUCAUCCAUUACUUUCCCCAUCACUUUCCCACCUUCCUCUUGGAGUUGCAGAAGGAGCUUGCUAUGAAGAUCUGUUGUGUGAAAUUGUGCAUCUUGGAUCGAGCACUUUUUUGACAACUGGGUUUUGGAUUUGUUUCCUGGUCUACAAUGCCACGAUGAGUUGAAAAAUACUCUGAUCAGAUUUCGAUUUCGAAAAUUGAAAUCCGACAAAACAAAAAUAUCAAUGAUGAAGAUUCAAUCUCAACCCAGCGAGAAGGAGAAACGGAGGAGAGUAUUUUUGAGAUUGUGAAAGUUUCAUUAAAAUAUACUGUUCACCCGCCUCCUUGAAAAAAUAAGUUGGUUUUGAGAAAUAACAAAAUGUAGCUUCUGUUUUUUGCCACUUUUCAGCUUUUAAUGAUCUGUGACUUUUAAAAUAAGCAGUGUUACCAAGCACAAAUUGUACUCCAAUUUUUUUUCAUCCCAGCUUUUAAAAUAAUUUAAGCAGUACCAAACCUUACCUUAUUCUAAUUGCAACAAAGAAAGCUGAAAUUGGAAUAAUUCGUGAUUUGUUCAAACCAAGAAUACAAAAGCAACAACCUACUAGAAAAUAUGCUCGUAGAGAUUUACGGGUUGUUUCUGCAAGUAAUUUUGCUAAAAGCGCUUUUAUUAGAACAACAUUGAGAAAUCAAUUUUAUAAUGAUAUGAGCAUGCCAAGAGAUUAAACUAGUUUACAACAUCAAUAUUAUAAUGAUAGUACUCUCAGUUCAUUCUUGCUCAUAGAAUUAAAGAGAGAAACCGAACUAAACAACAAUGCGGACUAGCUUGGUCAACUCUCAGGCCUUUAUUCUUGAAGAUAGCAAAAUUACUCAAAGUUCCAUAUCAUAUGUAUGCAUAAAUCUUGUGCUUGGCACUUAUUCCUUGAGAAGAUGUGCAUCAAUAUCUUUAAUGACAUUGACCAUAAAGCUGAGGUACUUCUGUGGAGGCGGAUCGUUCUCGUUGAGUUUUUCAUAUUCUAAAGUAAUUUUCACAAAACCUCCUUCACUCUUUGGAGUGACCUGGAAAAUGAUCUUGUAGCUUUUGUAAUUGUCCAGCACAUGUGAUCCUUCCAGAGCUGUAAGACUCACCCACUUGUUUACUUCAUCUAUUUCCACCUUUUCCUUGAAUGUCUCGACAUUUCCAUCUACACGUCACAUGGAAAAUUACAAUGAUACAUCUAUUCAUGGAGAGAUUUUUCAAUGCUCAGAACACUGGGUGGUACAACACAUGUUAUUAUACAAACGAAUGAAAAUUAUUUUCAAAUGUCUCUUCACUUAUAUAAUGAAAUAUAAUUUAUAUAUCCAUGUUCUGAGCACACUAAAAAUUCUCUCCUGUCCAUGAUCCGAUUCUUUAUAUAUUCAUCGUCAGGUAAUGCAAACCUAAUGGCGCAUGGAUGGCCUGGUCAAUAUAUUUCAGUUUUAAUUCUAGAAGAAUCUUAUACGUACAUAUACAUAUCACGUUAGCAUGUUUAUUUCAUAGCAGGUUAGUUUGUGUUAUUCAAUAAUAAUAAUAAUAAUAAUAAUAAUGUUACAGUAUUAACUAUAAACGUAACAUUAUUAUUAUACAACUUUUUUUAACAAACAAUAUUAUCUACAUUAAGGGAAAGAGGUGAGCUUAGCCUCACAAUGUUUGAAUGAUGGAAAUAAAUUUGGACUUUUGACAAAAUUUAGAAUUUAUAAAUUAACAUGCACCAAUUCUCUUGUCUAGAUUCAUAAACAUAGAAAUUUAGAAUUUCCGCGUGAAAAAAAGGGAGAAUUUGAGACCUCCAAUUCCCAAGUUUAAAUUUCAUGUAAAUAAGUCACUCAGUACUACGGUCUUGUAGUAUUUCUCUUCACUUGAAAGUGAGAGGUUAUAAGUUCGAAUCUUGUUGAUGACGAAUUUGAUACCAAAUUAGGCUACCCAUUGUGUGGCUUUGCCGAACUCCUUAGUGUAAAAAUAUCGAUGUACUAAAAAAAAUCAUGUAAAUAGGUGUUAUUCCAAAUUUUUAUGAGUGAGAGUUUAAAGAUAACAAAAUCUAUAUUGAAUUUAUAUUAUUCUUUUAAGUUAGUCAAACAAGAAAAUUUACAAAUUCUAGAAAUAAAAUUUCUUAGUAAUUUUAAAUUUUCUCAUCCAAACAGAAUGUUAGAGUCAUGAUGUAACACCCGUCGCUUUUUAUUUAACAAAAUUAAUUAUUAGUUUAACUAGGUUAGGAGGAGAGAGGAGGGUGAUUAAUUUCAUAUUACCUAGGGUGUAUUUCCAGAGCUUGACAGAGCCAGAAGUUUCCCAGUCACCUUCAUGUACUGCAACAUCGUGUAUUUUAUCAGAGGCUGCUUUGGGGACGUCGUGGUGCUGGUUGCUGAUGACUUUGUACAACUUAUCAGCGUUGGCUUUGAUCUCUACCUCAGCCUCCACAGUCAGCUUGCAAGCACCAGCUCCACUCACUGCCAUUUUCUUUUAUUUGUUAUUAGUAAUAUGUGAUUAGUCUGGGGAAAUUGUAGGAGACGUAUACUAACCUACAGGUUUCAACUUCUUAUAUAGAGUCGCAAAGUUGUAAAUUAACAUGUUAUAAACUGAUAGUUAUGGAGGCAGCGUGUGGAUAUGAUCCGAUCACUUAAUUAAAUAGUUAUAUAAUAAUAUUGUGUCUGUGGAUCUUCCAGGCAGAGUUUUAUUAAUUAUUACAUCUAGGGGUGGAAUUUUUUCCCGAAAAUCCCGAACCGUCCCGAUCCCGUCCCGAAAUUUGACUGAAAAAUUCCCGAACCGAAUUUUCCGAAACAUUCGGUACCCGAAACCGAACCCGUCCCGAAAGUUUUGGGUUGGGAUUUGGCCACAGCUUUGAAAGCUUUCGGUAAUCCCGAACCGAACCGAUUAUUAUAUAUAUUUAUUUUUAAUUUUUAAUUAGAAAUUACUUGAACCGUUGGAUUUGUUAAAAUCUAAUCCAACCGUCCAUUAGUUAGGUCAUUUUAUUAGGUUGUGAUCAGAUCUCUCGGACUCACUCACUCUCGGUCUCUCCGCUCCACUCUCGCUCACUCUCUGCGCUCCGCUGUCACUCACUCUCUCCGCUCUCUCUUGCUCACAGUCUCAGUCUCCCUCACACGCACUCUCACAAACAGUCUCGCCGCCCGUGCUCCCGCCGCUCUACUCCUCCGUCGAAUCCACGCUGCUCCUCAUCCUCCACAACUCACGCAAACACAGGAAGGAACCAAUUGAGUCCCAAAAUCCAGGAUAGGGUUUUUAAUUUUCACUGGGGUUUUGUCCUUUCUCUCUCUUUAACUCUUCAGACAGCAUUUCACAGAAACCCAAUUAAACAUAUGAAAAUAUACAAGCAACAACCUGUAAAAUUUAACAUAAAUAAACAAUGGUAAACUACAAUUAACAUAAAAAUUGCUCACAGAGAGAGAGAGAGAGAGUUCUUACAUGAGGUGCUGCAAUUGCUUGAGAGAGUUCUUACAUGUGGCUUUGUAGCUAGUGUGGAUUGUGACCUACUUAUUUGUGUGUUUAGAUACGCAAGCUAAGUAUAGCUGAUUGGUUUCGUAUCUGUUUGAGAUUUUUAUUUUAUUUUAUUUUGCUGUCAUAAUGUGCAGGACAAUCCCAAUUUCGAGGGUGAAACAUGUAGGAUCACUACUAGAAAUUUCCACUUUGCCGACAAAAAUAGUUUGUAGGCAAAAGUCAAAAUUCGUCGGCAAAGAGCCUUUCCCAACGAAAAAUUUUGUCGGCAAUUUUGUCGCUAAAAGCAUGUCGCGCAAGAUCUUUCUCGACAAAUCUUGAUAUUUCGUCGGCUCAUUUUUAAGGCGACAAAUCUCAGCCGUCAAACUGUGCCCAUCACCAAAACAACAUUGCGACAAAAUAUUUUGUCAGCAUAGGUUGUUUCUUCGCGAUGAAAUUAUUUGUCGGCUUAGUGAUCUUGUCGCGACAAAAUAUUUGUCGGCUGAGUAAUCUUGUUGCGACAAAACAUUUUGACGGCUAAGUAAUCUUGUCGUGACAAAAUGGUUUUUCGGCUAUGUAGUCCUAUGACAACAAAUUGGUUUGUCAGCUCAAAUGACUUGUGUAGACAAAAUAAUUAGUUGGUUGAAUCUUUUGUGAACAAAAACAUUUGUCGGCUAAUUAAUUUUGUGCCGACAAAACAUGUCAAGUCCAAUAUUUUCUAAUUUUUAAUAAUAUUUUUAACCAUCACAAACAAGCAAGCUUAAGAGAUCGAGAAGGGGCGUGAAUGAAGAAUUAAUGUAGGAACAACACAAAAUUCAUGUAAUAUAAACUAAUGUAAGGUUCACAAUUCGGUGUAGCUACAAAAUACAAAAAUAUCUAUGUUUUCAUUUCGAGAUUACUAUAAUAUAGAUAAAAUAUCCUUAAGUAUCACCAUUCUCACUAUAGUCCUCAUCAAGUUGAUAUGCAGCAUCAUGAAAUCGGGAAACGAUAAGGAUCAUCAUGAAACACUCCAGUAUCAAACAACUGUAGAAGAAAAACAAAUUAAAAAACUUGAUUAGCAAACGUUAAGGGUGCUAAAUAUCAUUGACAUUAAGGAACGCAAGGCCACACUAGUGGUAUUUCUAAACAAAUAACUUAUGAAACCAUAAAUGUGUAAACAACAAGAUAAAGAUAUCUACUAAUCAAGUUAACUUACCAACGCCAUGCAGCAUCACAACCUAGCAAAAUUACAUGUUUAAUAGAUACCAGGUAAUAACCAAGUUAACAUCAACUACUUAUAUGUCAUUCAUCAUUGUAAACAACAAGAUAAACAUUAUAAACAGCAAGGCAACAUGAUUAUCACUCUGUAAACAAGGCAGCAUGAUAAGUAGAUCAUAUAAAUCCUUGAAAGGUAUAUAAUUUAUAUAAACAUAACAAUACCAAUCACCUAUCUAAGUAGGUUAUAACUCUAGAACAUAAGCAUAUGCACCUGGAAACAUAAAUAAACUAUACUAAAGCAUCCUAAUUCAUCAUUGUUUAUAAUCUUUAUCAGUGUAAACAAGAAGAUAUAGACAUCUACUAAUCAAGUUAAUCCUCAAAUAUCAAAAUUACCUGGUGUGAAUGAUCCUCACAUUGGUCUCCAUGCCGUGCUGAUACCAGUUGUAAGCUAUCUAGCCCAGAAUUCCACUGAGCCAUAGACAACCUGCAAGUGUUAUAGAAAGGAAAAACAAAUAUGUCAAACCUAGACCACAAUAUCGAAAAAUUACAGUGGAAAUCUGGAAUUAAAGUCAAAGGACAUUGUUUUCACCAAUAUUAUACAAAUGGAUUGCCAAAUCAACCAAAAAUUGGAAACCUAGAUCAUAAAACUCGAACCCAAAUGAAAUAGUUCAAUUAAGAACAUGUUUUUCAUCCAUAUAUGCGAUUCAAUCAAAGCAAAUACAAUUAUUUCAUUUUCCAAUAAAAACAUGGAAAACGAAUACAAAAACAAACAAACAAGUUAGCAAAUUAAUGUGGUAAGGAAAAUGCAUAUACAAAAUCAUGAUAAAACCUGCAAUCAUGAUAAAAAAAUAUAAUAUUACAAAGAUAGAAAAAAAUUCCAGCCUUGAAUAUUUAUAACACAAAGAGAAUGAAAACUUCAUUUUAUAUCCAAUUCUACUCUCUCACUGACUGAUUAAUUAUGUGUGUUCCCCAUUUCCCAUAUACCAUUCCAUUCCAUUAGUUUUAAUAGGAAAGAUCAUCCAAAUCAUCUAAAACAAUGAAAACUUCAUUUUAUAUCCAUGAACAAAAGCUCCAAACUCUGAAAAACAAAACCAAUUUUAAUUCAUUCCAGAGCAACUGAAUAAAACAGAACUAAACACAACUGAGAAGAAAAACUGUUUAAGCCAAUCACACAGACUAUAUUAAAUCUUUACAAACCAACCGAAUGAUGCAGAAAUGCUUAAUAACAAAAUAGUUAAGCAACAAAUCAUGUAAAAUAAUCAUAAGUCAACUCAACAAAACCAAACAAAACACCGACACCACUGAAUAAACCCUGCCCAUUGGAAAAAAAUAAUACCUAACAAAGAACCCAACCACUGCAAGUGUAAAUUCAAAAGACAUAAGCGUUCAAACACUGCAAAAAUAAGUGGAAGAAAAACACAAAGUCACCAAAGACAAAAGCUUCCUAAAACGAAAAAUCAAACCAGAUGGAACAACCAUAGACAAAUGAUCACAAAAUAGAAGAAAACAUUUGAAAGAAAGAGCUAACAGACCUUUAUUCGAAAGGGCUUGCAACGCUGUUCACAAAACCCCCAAACUCUGGAGACCAAUAUUUUCUGCAACACAAAAGCCAAUCAGAUUAGGGAACCACACCGAAAUCACUAAAAAAAUAACCAAACAAUGAAUGAAAAACGCUAAAAGUUCAAUUUCACACCGAUCAAGCAAUAAUGUAUAGGAAAACCCUAAACCCGAAAGACCCAAAUUUCCCAAAACGAAAAAUCGAAUUAGAUCGAACAGCCACACCAAAAUAAGCAGAAAAAAAGAAGAAAACAUUCGAAACAAAAAACUUACAGACCUUAAUCACAUAUGCUCUGCAAGACUAUUCCCAAAAACCCUAAAAUUCACACACCAACUUUUGCUGAAACCAAAAACCCAAUCGGAUUAAACAAACACGCUAAAAACAAAGAAAAAAUUAGGAAACAACCAAUAUAACACAAACACUCUAAUUUUACAGGCAUCAAUCUGCAAAUUUUCUUCCCAAUCAAAGAAAACACACACACACACACACAAAAAAAAAAAAAAAAAAGAGAAACGACCUCAAACAGCGCAAUGAAUCAGAAAAAGAAACUCUUCAGACAACAGAGGAUCGAUGCAGAGAGAUAAGCAGAGACACGAAAGAUCAAGGCAGGCGGAAGAACACAUAAACAAAGAGGAAGAAAAAAGGGAAAGCUACGGAAGAAAAUAAGCGAUCCCUCGCUUCCGCACCAAAAACGACGGAGACCACGUGGUAGAUGCAGCAAUUGAAAUUAAACAGACCAAGCAGGGGCAAUUGCGUCACAACACUGUUACUUUCACUGUUCAUCAACAGUGUUCCACCCGUUUGGGUUUUAGUAUAUAUAGAAUUUAUACUUUCAUUAAGUAUAACAUAAGAAUCUGUGGUAUCCACAAGUGUAAAUAUUUUAAAUUGAAGAUCGAGCUCAUUCAUUGUAUUCAUAUAGGAUCAAGGAGUGUAGCUGUACAAAAUCAUCAAAAUCGAAGUUAAAAUAACCGUUAAAUCAUGAUUUUUCGUUUAUAACCGUCAGAACGUUUUGUCUCCUUACAUGAUCUCUGAAGGUUUUUUUUUUGCAAUUUUUGGCGUAUACGAUCUCGAAACAUAUAUAAACAAGUUUGACGGUUGGAUCGUUGAAACUAGUUUCGUAUAAUGCGUAUCCUAUGAAAAUGAUAGAUUCACUAACACUUAGAGUUUAUUUAUACUUUCAUUAAGUAUAACAUAAGAAUUUGUGGUAUCCACAAGUGUAAAUAUUUUAAAUUGAAGAUCGAGCUCAUUCAUUGUAUUGAUAUAGGAUCAAGGAGUGUAGCUGUAAAAAAUCAUCAAAAUUGGAGUUAAAAUAACCGUUAAAUCGUGAUUUUUCGUUUAUAGCCAUCAAAAAAUUUUGUCUCCUUACAUGAUCUCUGAAUGUUUGUUUUUUGCAAUUUUUGGCGUAUGCGAUCUCGAAACAUAUAUAAACAAGUUUGACGGUUGGAUCGUUGAAAUUAGUUUCGUAGAAUGUGUAUCCCAUGAAAAUGAUAGAUUCACUAACACUUAGAGUUUAUUUAUACUUUCAUUAAGUAUAACAUAAGAAUUUGUGGUAUCCACAAGUGUAAAUAUUUUAAAUUGAAGAUCGAGCUCAUUCAUUGUAUUCAUAUAGGAUCAAGGAGUGUAGUUGUAAAAAAUCAUCAAAAUUGGAGUUAAAAUAACCAUUAAAUCGUGAUUUUUCGUUUAUAGCCGUCAAAAAGUUUUGUCUCCUUACAUGAUCUCUGAAUGUUUGUUUUUUGCAAUUUUUGGCAUAUGCGAUCUCGAAACAUAUAUAAACAAGUUUGACGGUUAGAUCGUUGAAAUUAGUUUCGUAGAAUGUGUAUCCCAUGAAAAUGAUAGAUUCACUAACACUUAGAGUUUAUUUAUACUUUCAUUAAGUAUAACAUAAGAAUUUGUGGUAUCCACAAGUGUAAAUAUUUUAAAUUGAAGAUCGAGCUCAUUCAUUGUAUUCAUAUAGGAUCAAGGAGUGUAGCUGUAAAAAAUCAUCAAAAUUGGAGUUAAAAUAACCGUUAAAUCGUGAUUUUUCGUUUAUAGCCGUCAAAAGGUUUUGUCUCCUUACAUGAUCUCUGAAUAUUUGUUUUUUGUAAUUUUUGGUGUAUGCGAUCUCGAAACAUAUAUAAACAAGUUUGACGGUUGGAUUGUUGAAAUUAGUUUCGUAGAAUGUGUAUCCCAUGAAAAUGAUAAAUUCACUAACACUUAGUUUAUUUAUACUUUCAUUAAGUAUAACAUAAGAAUUUGUGGUAUCCACAAGUGUAAAUAUUUUAAAUUGAAGAUCGAGCUCAUUCAUUGUAAAUAUUUUAAACUGAAGCCCUUUUGUGACGCCAGCAUUAGUGUCGCUAUUCCAAUCCGACAUUACAUUGUUUUAUGUCAGAUUUUUUUCUAAAUUUCCGAUAGAAAUUGGGUUUCUUGUCGGUUUUUGCUUCGCCACUGAUAAGGUAUAUUGCAGUAGUGGGUGUUGGUACCAAGUAACAGAUUCAUGAUAAAUCGUUCAUUUAUUUGAUUCACAUACAUUAUCUCUGAGCGGGAAGAUCCCCGCCAAAAUAUUACAUGAUAUUUUAAAUGAUUUUUCGUUAGUUUUCAUUUUUUAUUAAAGUGUAACAAGGUAUGUUUAUAUCUUUCGCCAAAAAAGUAACCAAAAAUUGUUAGAGAAGGGAGACAGAUAAUAGGGGCGUGGAUGAUAAUCAGUUAAGAGUGCAAGAAUCGUAAACCUAGGGAUAGAAAUCGUCAAAAUUGUUUCUGAGCGGGAAAGACCCCGCCAAAUUGUUAGAAGAUAAAUAAGAAUUCUUAUCAAACUGAAAUCGGAUGGCGUGAGCGAAGAAUGUGGGAGGGAAGUCAUGAGCAAUUGGGAUUAGCAUGCAAUUGGGAGGGAGAUCAUGAGGCGACAAAAUAGGAAUAGCAUGCAAUGGGAGGGAGAUCAGGCAAUUGGGGGAUGUGAACCGACAAUUGAGGGAUGUGAACUGACAAUUGGAAUAAUAGAAAUAUUAUGGGAGGGAGAUCAUGAGGCGGCAAAAUAGGAUUAGACAAAAUAUGGGAGGGAGAUCAUGCAAUUGGCAGAUGUGAACCGACAAAUUAGGUUUGGAUUGCCACGGGAAAUUUAUAAGUUUGUUCUUAUAAUCAUAUGUUAUGUUUUUAGAAAACUUGGCAUGCUUGUCGAAUUAGAAUGGAUGAUUACAUACAACUGUAUUCAAAUUUACAAUUGUAAUUGCUAAUAAUUGAUCAUAGCCUAAACCAAGUUAUAUGUUGCUAGAAAGUAGUUUGGAGUUAGAAUUGAUAGGAAGAACUUUUUCAAACACUCACAUAUUAUGAAAUCAAAUUGUCAAUAUAGAUUAUUGAUGGCAUAAAACUACAAUCCAGAAAUAUGAAAUGCUAGAUAUCUCUUUAUCUAUGCUCCCGUUCAUAUAGAGAAACAAGAGAGAAUGACAGCAUAAAUAGUUGCCAAGAGCUUUGAUUGUGUUCCCCGGAAAAAAAUGGAUAGGUGCACUGGUGAAAACCUCUCACGUAGAGUUAUUAAUACCUUACCAAUGACAUACUUUAUUGCCUCUCUAAUCAAUUUGCCGAUGAAAUACUUUGUUGCCUCACAUCAUCGGCUAAUAUUUCAAUAUAGUGGGAAAAGUUCCCGCCAAAGUUUACCCGUCAAAACAAAAUUUGUCAGGGUAUCGAAUUUACGCCUACAAAAUGAUCGUCGGCUAACGUUUCAAUUUUCUCGGCUAAGAUUGGCAUUGUAAAUUGGUUCUAGUGUGAGUAUUCAGCCGACAAAUUAAAAAUUUCGUCGAGAAAGGACUCUUGUGCCGACAAAAUUUUGCUUUGUCGGUUUAAUUUGUCGGCAAAAUUAUAAUUUCUAGUAGUGGAUAUGCAUGAAUGCAAUAAUCGACAGGGGUGUUCUCGAUUGCUGCCAGCAUUGGUAUGUGCUUUAGUGUGGUUUUGUGUGUGUGAGAGAGAGAGAGAGAGAGAGGAAUUUUAUUUUAUGACAUGGGUUCAUCUUGGGGUUUUCAGGUUCUGUUUCUCAUGCAUUGACAAUUGGGCUACCAUUACAAACCUCUGCCCGCUUUGCCAGAAUGAAUUUCAAAUGAUCACAUGUGUUUCGGAGAGUGAUGCAAAUAAACAGUUAUCGCUUUAGUAUUAUUUCUGUUAUGAUUGCUAUGGAUUAUAGAAUGGUAUUAAUGUACAACCAGUUUAAAGCACAGUUGUUACUUUGAUUUCUUAACUAUCUGUUUUCAAUAGUUUUCUUUUUGUUGCAAACAGAAUUUUUAUUUUGAAGUUUUCUCAAAAUAACGAUUUGAUGCUGGUUUGAAGUGGCACUAAAUCAUAAGAGUUUGAUUUGUAUGUGAAGGUAUACGAUACUAUUGGGAGCAUCAAAGCGGACGAGGACUCAACUUAUAGGUACUUUCAUAAUUAUGGAUAAUGUGUUUAAGUCUAUUGGUGAGGGUUCUUUGUUCACAUUUAUGCGGCACAUGUUCCCAAUUUGGAAGCUUGGUUUGUAAAACUUAACUUAUUUCAUUUUGGUUGCAUGCACUUUUAAUUAAAUAGUUUGGUAGACAAAUACAAUUGUGAACUUAAGCUUAACUUGUUAGUUGCUUCCUUUGUAUGAAAAUUGAAACAUGUGGUAUUGUGAUAUUCAUAUUGUGGUGAAAUUGAAACAGGUGGGCUGGGCAGUGGCUGUGUAACCUUAAUUUUUUUUUUUUUUGGGGGCAGUGGCUGGCUGCAAUCUUAAAAGCCCAACAUUUUGGGCUUCAAGGCCCAAUCCCGAAGUAUCCCGAAAAUCCCGAAACACUUUCGGGAAUCCCGAAUUUCGGGAAAUGCACAUAUUCGGUUCGGUUUCGGGAUAUAAAAGCCCAUCCUGAAAUGUUUUGGUUUGGGAUUCGGGAAAGGAGUUUCGGUUCGGGAUCCCGACCCGAACCACCCCUAAUUACACCUACCAAACUUAAGAGCACGCGCAAACUUGAUGAGACAUAUAUCAACACGUGAGAACAAUGAUUGAUCAACAUUACCUCCAUAGUAUUAUUAGAGUGAAUGAUUGUAUGAUAUUAAUUUACUAGAGUGAAUGAUUGUAUGAUAUUAAUUAUGCGUUAAGAUCUUGGGAAUUUUAAUGAAAAAUUACUGGUAUUAUUCAUUUUAAUAAAAAAUUACAUUUUUACAUUAAAAAGUCAAUCUUAGUACUAUUCACUUUAUUCUUUAUUUUGUCCUUAUUGUUAAAACUCAAAGUUUUCAAGUCAUUUUCAUUAAUUUUCCUUAAGAUCUUUUGAUUUGGCAUGCGGAAGUGUGUGUGUUUGUAUAUUAUAUAGGGAUAAUACUAAGUUAGGUUCAUAUUAUCUUAACUAGUGAUAAAUUAAGGGUUCUUUCGAGUUAUUCGAAACAGUGGUUUAUAUUAUCUUGACUUACGUGCAACCUAAACACAAAAAAGAGAGGCUGUACUGGCUUCCAAAAUAAAACUAGAUGCAAACAAUAAUGUGGAGUUCCGGUUACUCUUUUGGAAUCAACCAAAGCUGAAUCAUUGAUGCCUAAUUUCAGAAAGUUUUCCUUUUCUGCAUGCAGAUCUUUUCAAUGGAUGUAGCUCAGUUUUGGGAGGUAACCACUUACUUCAUCGAGUUCAUUAAUUUUAAUCAAUCUAAAGUAAUUUAACUAAGUUUAUUAACCUUACAAUGUUGAGCGUUAAUACCCAAUUUUGGAGGAAUUGCAUCACGUUUAUGUAAAGGUAAUCGAAAUAAUAGAGCGGAAUUAAAUUCCAAUUACGGAAUACUCCAGUAUUUACCAAAUAUUGGAGAAUAAAAAAUUUGAUAGCACCCACUCAAUUUUUUAAUCCAAUACUAAUUCAUAUUCAAAUUUUGGAAUAAAAAAUCUAAUACUAAUUCGUACUCAUCAAAUGAAAGUAAAAUCUAAUUCUUCAUUUUUUAAGUAAUUAUUGUAAUGUGAGUAAACGCAUGAAAAUCAUGAUUUAGAAUAUUUUCUAAUGCAGACUCUAAGUCUGAAAUUGAAAUAUAAAGAUAGCCGUUGACGGGUCGAUUCUGGUUAAUCUAGGCAUGAGAAUACGAAAAAAAUACACACAAAGUUAUUAAGAUAGCUUUCCUUUUUUAUAUUUUAGCGAUAGUCUAGUCUAAUCCAACAUUAGACCACAUUCAGUGAUUCAAACUAAGAGAAGGGGGAUUCAAACUUGGCUACACUCGGAUUCUCAUAUGAGGAUUGAUUCUGAAGUAAAAGAAUAUAACCAAGUUGAUCAAGAAAUUUCAAAAUUUCUAAUGGAAACUUAUUAGAAAUUUUUUGUGAAGGUGUUGAAGUUGGGAUUUUUUUGUUUGUUUUCGUAUUGAAGUUGGGAUUGAAACAGAAGAUAAAGCAUAAUAUAAAGUUUCAUUACAAUUAACAACAUGUUCUAUUAAAUGAAAGUGACUAAAUAUUGAAAAACAUGCUACGCCGCGUUGAUCAACUCCGGCAACGAGCAUUGGCACUGCAUCCGUGGUUGUAGGGGUUGCUCUGAUUCUGAGCACCCGGCUUGCAGUUGUUGGAGGAAGCACCUCUCUGAGAGCAAGGAACAGUGUUUCUCUGCAGCGCUUCAUAGCUUAUGUUUCGUGAGGUGGCCAAGAUGCGUCUGCUAAUCUCCGAGUCCAUGCCAAACUCAUCAUCACGAUCAUCCAUGCACUCUGCUACAGAACCCUCGCAGCGAGGUCUCACUGGAACCCAGCUCACCCCAUGAUCGCCGCCUGCAUCAACGGAGAUGACCAGAGCGGCCACGAAAAUCAACGAAAAGAUAAUCGCAGAGGAAUUAGCCAUAGGUUUUGGUACGGUCUGUGUUUUUAGCUGCCAACUUGUAUUUUGUUGUACGCCUGUUAAUUACAGAGGGAGAGAGAGGGGGCGGCAAGAAAGAGAGAGAUAAUCGGUGAAAUUUUGAUGUGUAUAUUAUUUCACCCUAUUGUGCUAUUUAUAGUAGUAAAAAGGGAAAAUUUUUGUCUUUCAAGUAAUUCAUAGGAGUUAGGGAAAAUCCUUGUCUUUCAAGUAAUCCAUCUAAAAUAGGACACUACGUAAAAGAUAUUAUACAAUUCCAUAAGGAUUUACACAAUCACAUUCCUAAUUAAAUUAAGACUCUGACAUUUUUAAGUUUGGUUAAAUAAAAAUUGGAUGUUGAUUUCUUCAAGGAGAUAAUUACUUAAUUGACAUGCUUUAAUUCAACCUUAUUCCAAUUGCAACAAAGAAAGCUGAAAUUGGAAUAAUUCGUGAUUUAUUCAAAACCUACCAAGAAAACAAAAUCAACAACUACUACAAAAUAUGCUCGUAGAGAUUUCCGGGAUGUUUCUGCUCUUAAGUGUUUUUGCUAAAAGCUCUUUUAUCAGCACAAGGUUGAGACUUUAAUUAAAAAACUAAGUUUUUCUCGAAAAAAUAUAAGCAUGCCAAUAGAUUGAACUUGUUUACAACAUCAGCAUUAUAAUAAUAUUGUUGGAAAAUAUUAGGUUUACUUUAAUGUUUGGUUUUCUGGGCUUAGCCCGUUAGUAUUAGGGUUUCGUUUUCUUGCUUAUUAGGGUUAUGUUAGUUCUCUAUAUAUAUGGUGUUUUGUAGCUUGUAUGAUUAACAAGUUAGUCACAAUGUAGUCUCUAGGGUUUUUGUAGCCGUCUCGGCAUUCUAUGUUUGAUAUCAAUAAUAUUUCUAGUUUUGUAAUCCGUUUGUUUGUUCAUUGUGGUAUGUGCACUCUGAUAUUCAACUUGGUAUCAGAGCGGGUUUGAUUCCUCGGAAUUUAAUCUGUUUUGGAUGGAUAUCAAUUUGUUCAUCUGUUUGUCCACUGCGUAUCAGUUCGUCAUGGUAUGUUUUGUUGGUUUGUCUGUCUAGUAGUAGUUAGGGUUUUGUUAUAUGUUUAAAAAAAAAAAAAAAUUGAAUCAGUUUGCUGCGUCAUGUCAUCGUCCUCUGCUAAACUUGGAAUCGCCGCCACGAACCCCACAUCACCAGCGUGCUCCUACCAUCAGGACAUCACCGCGCCAACCCGCCAUGCCUGCACCCAGUGCCACCAUGUCCCGCCUACAACCCCGUUGUCUUACCACCACCUGCUGUAAACCCACAUCGCUCGCCUGCUUGCGCGCCGUGCAGACGGGAUUUGAUAAAGCCACACCAACUUGCUGCAAAUACAUGCAGUUGAUCCGUACCCAUGAGCCUGCUUGAAUCUCCGCACCCGACCCGCUUGUCGCCUGCACCCACUGCUUGCUUGCCGUUCCCAUUGUUCGUUGACCAGAACUCGCGCUUGGUUUACGCGUUCUGGAGAAAACCAUUGGAAAAAAGGAAGCAGAAUAAAAAGUAAGAAAAAGAAAAAAAAAGUGAUGUUUGAGGAAAAGGAAAAAAGAAAAAAAAGAAAAAGAAAUGCAAAAGUAUUAGAAGUUGGGCUUGCCGUUGGUCUUGUUGAUUGUUUUGGAGAAUGACUAUGGUCGUCUGCUAUUGUACCCACAACGAUUGUUCGAGUGCUUGGAUUGUUGAUUACUCGAGUGAUUAUUGUUGAGGUUUUCGUCUGCUUGUUUGUUGCCGUUGGGCUAUUGGAAUCUCGUCCGUUUAGUGACAAGGUCCAUGCUCAAACGAAAUAUGUCUGCCCUCUGCCAUGUGAAUCUAUAUCCACCUGCCUGUCUGUCUGUCCGCGUUGCGGAGCCUGCCUGCCUGUCUGUCUGUCCGCGUUGCGGAGCCUGCCUGUCUGUCCGCGUUGCGGAGCCUGUCUGCCUGUCUGCCUGUCUGUCUGUCCCCCUAACGGAGCCAGUCCACAUCUGCUUGUUUGCAAACCCAUGUCGUAUACCGCCAUGAGUUUGACUGGGGGUGUUGGAAAAUAUUAGGCACACUCAAUUCAUUCUUGCUCAUAGAAUUAAAGACAAACCAAAUCGGAAACCGAAAUAAGCAACAGUGCUAACUAGCUUGCUCAGCUCUCAGGCCUUUAUUCUUGAAGAUAGUUAUAUUACUCAAUGUUCCAUAUCGUAUGUAUGCAUAAAUCUUGUGCUUGGCGCUUAUUCCUUGAUAAGAUGUGCAUCAACAUCUUUAAUGACAUUGAAUAGAAAGCUGAGGUACUUCUGUGGAGGCGGAUCGUUCUCGUUGAGUUUUUUAUAUUCUAAAGUAAUUUUCACAGAACCUCCUUCACUAUUUGGAGUGACCUGGAAAAUGAUCUUGUAGCUUUUGUAAUUGUCCAGCACAUGUGAUCCUUCCAAACCUGUAAGACUCACCCGCUUGUUUGCUUCAUCUAUUUCCACCUUUUCCUUGUAAGUCUCGACAUUUCCAUCUACACGUCACAUGGAAGAGUACAAUUAUACAGCUAUCCAUGAUCCGAUCCUUUAAAUAUUCAUCGUGUGGUAAUGUAAACCCUAUGGUGCAUGGAGGUCUUGUCAGUUUUAAUUCUAAAAGUACAUACAUAUGAGGUAACGCAAACCCCUAGCUUGCUAGGUUUCAAGUUAGCAUGCCUAAUUAUUUUGCAGCAGGUUAGUCUGUGGUAUUAAAAAAAAAUUGUUAGUCAUAAGUAUAACCUUAACAAUGUUUGGUUGUAAUUUGCUUGCUCCUUCAUGCAAUCUCACAGUCUCACUACCAGCUCCACAAGUUUGCGGAGUAAGCUGCUUCAUUCACCCCAAAAGGGGUUCAUUUCACUAUCUUUUACACAGCGGAGGCUGUAUAAAGCUACGACAGAACAAAAUUCGGCACCCGGGAGAGGGACGAUCUCCAGAGAUUCUUUUACAUUUUUUGUAUUUCUUUUUUUGUUGAAUCAUUUCUUGUAAUUUAAACAUUUAGCGUCAUCUUGUAAUUUAAAUAUUACCUAUGGUGUAUUUCCAGAGUUUGACAGAGCCAGAAGUUUCCCAGUCACCUUCAUGUACUGCAACAUCGUGUAUUUUAUCAGAGGCUGCUAUGGGGAAGUCAUAGUGCUGGUUGCUGAUGAAUUUGUACAGCUUAUCAGCGUUGGCUUUGAUCUCUACCUCAGCCUCCAUAGUCUCCAGCUUGCAAGUACCAGCUCCACUCACAGCCAUUUUAUUUUAUUUGUUCUUUAUAAUAUGUGAAUAACGAUAGUGUAAGUCUGGGGAAUUGUAGGAGACGUAUACAAACCUAUAGGUUUCCACUUCUUAUAUAAAGCCAUGUUAUAGUUACGGAGGCAGUAUGUGGAUAUUAUCCGAUCACUUAAACAGUUAAAUGAUAACAAUGUGACAGUGGAUCUUUCACGUAAAAUUUUAUCACCACUACACCUACCAGAAUAAAACUUUUUUCUUUUUUCUUUUUUCUUUUUUUUUUAAUUAAAAGAAGAAAUGUCAAUUUCAUUCCGCAUUAUUAUCAUGGAACAAGACAUUAUUUUGAAUACAUUGAAGAAGAAAAAAAUAUAUAGAUAAUAAGUUAGAGGGGACAUGAAGCCUAGCCCUAACAAGAAGUAGAAAACUAUUUGAAACAACAAUCAAUUAAGACAACUCCUAAGAGAAACAAGAAUUUGGAAACACCGAAAGAUUAUGAGCAAAAGUCAUAACUGCACAUGACGGAUAAGAAUCACACAAAUAAUGAAAACUAACAUGAUCAACAUAAUAGUUUGCUAAACAAUUUGUUACAUGAUUUCCUUCCCGAUUAACGUGAGAAAACUGAACAUGCAUGGAAGAGAGAAUGGUAUAGUAAUUUGUCAAAUCAACCGAUAAACUAUGGUGCAUUGCCAAACAAGAAUUACACUCAUUUCAAAGAGAAUGCUGCCAAAACCUUUCGAAAGCAAUAAAAAUAACAUGAAUAAUAGCUUUAAGUUUCACUUCCAAAGCAGUAACAAUGCCAAAAAAAUCUUGUAUUAAAGCAUCAAAGAGACCCAAGUGAUCACGAAAAAUACCACAAAAACCAGCAAACUUGAUGAUAGAUUUCAACACGUAUAUGUACAAGAGGAUCAAUGAUUGAUCAACUUUACCUCCAUAGCAUUAUUGGAGUGAAUGAUUGUACGAUAUUGAGGCGUUUGUUUGGAUUUGGCACGAGGAAAUGUGUGUAUAUAUUGUAUAUAUAGUGAUAAAAUUAAGGGUUCUUUAGAGCUAAUAGAAAUCAAUGGUUUAUAUUAUCUUGACAUACUUGUAACCUAGAGAGAGAGAAAAAAAAGAGGUUGUAUUGUCAUCAAAAUAAAAUUAUGACACAAACAAAUAAUGUGGAGUUCAUGUUACUUAUUUGGAAUCAAUCAAAGCUGAAUCAUUGAUGCCUAAUUUCAGAAAGUUUUUCUUUUCUGGAUGCAGCAUCUUUUCACAGGAUUUUUUUCGGUUGUGGUAUUGUGAAGGAACUUCUUGGAUAGUUUUUUUUCCCUUUUACACUAGCUUAGGGCUGGUUUGGUAUUGCUGUGCUUUGAAAAAAAGCUGCUGUGAGAAUAAGCGGCUGUGCUGUGAGAAUAAGCGGCUGUGAAAUAAAUCAGCUGAGUGUUUGGUAAACUUUUUUGUAAAAGUGCUUUUGGAAAAAAAAGCAGUCUGAUAGUGGAUCUUUUCAUUAAAGAAGCACUGUACCUCCGUGUGCUUUGAAAAAAAACCAGUUUUCCAAAGCUACAAAUAGCAGCUUCAGCUUUUUCUUUUGAUUUCAGCUUAUUCUCACAGCAGCUUCUAAAAUAAGCCUUUUUUUUCAGUUUACCAAACACCUAAAACCCUCACAGCUUUUUUUCAUGGGUGCUUUUUUUUUAAGCACCUCACUCCCAAACUAGGUCUUAGUGUCUUCCUGCCAAAAUAAUGACACAGAAAUUUUCAUCAAAAGGGUUGGCGAUGUCGGGCAGCAAAUGUAGUUUCCCGUGAAAUUGCAAAAUUUGCUCACAAUCUGAUGAUUUCGUCUCUUGGGUUGGCUCUCCCUUCUCCUAACUGCUGAAGACUGAUGAAGCAGAAAUUUAAUCAUCAAUGAAUUUCCUUGACUAAUCCAUUAUCUUUCCGUUGCCCGUUCACUUUGAUUUGUUCAUAAUCCGAUUAUUGUUCAUUCCAAUUCCAAGCGCGUAAACGUGCCCUCAUAGUUAUGGACUUGUCCGCAUCGUUUAAUUUUCCUUGAAUACCUGACUUCGUCGCCUAUGGUUUCACAAGAAAAUAAUCUCUUUGUUAAACCAGAAAAUUUAACGGUUCAUUAAUUAGCAACUAUUUCAUUUUUUAACAAUAUUUGGCUACUCAAAGGAUGAGUAAGAGUUCCUACUCAAACCUAUUUGUUGCCAAUUCAUAGAACUUCAUGUUUAUAAUAGAGCAGUUCAUAUUAGAAAUCACUUUAUAAAAAUUGUCUCUACAAAAAAUCAAUUAGACUAAGGUCGUUUAGUAGUUGAACUGUGAAAAAACAAAGGAAAGAAAUUGGUGAAAAAAUUAAAAACCAUUUAUGUAUUUACUAGAAUAAAUUGACUAAAUGACCUUAAUUUUAAUUCAAUUUUUGCAGAAAUGAUCUCCACAGUGUGAUUCAUAAUAUGAACAGUUCUGUUCAUAAGCACAAACUUCAGUGAUUCGAACAUGAAAAAUUUUGAGUGGGAGUUCUUACUCAUUUUUGAGUAGCCAAGCAUUGUUCUUCAUUUUUUUUUUUUGUGUCAGUAAUAAUCUGACAGAGAACAAUAAUAAGUAAACUGUGAAAAGAAAAAUAUUGUACAAACGAAAAAACAAACAAAAUGAAAAAGAAAACAAAUUAAUAUUUUAAGUUGUUUUCACUUUGAAAAUUUUGUUUUAUUCAUUCCCACUUUAUCUAAUUCUUAGCCUUCAUGUAUUGAAUUAUGCAUUGUAUUGUAGAAUCCAAAAAAAAAAAAAAAAACUUUUUUGGAUUCCAUGUGUAUAAGCAUGAAAUUAUAGCCCACCCAUAUGAAAAUUUUGACUCCGCGGUUGCAUGUAAGGAUAAACAUGCCAAUAGAUUAAACUUAUUCACACUAUAACAUAAAAAUGCUAUUACGCUCAAUUAUAGAAGUUGCUCAAAAGACUAAAGACAGUCCAAGUCGGAACUAAACAACAAGGCUAUAGCUUGCUCUUCUUCCAGCCUUUAUUCUUGAAGAUAUAAGAUUAUAGAUUAUCUCCCCUCCUAAUCUCUCUUUCCAUCCCUCCUCUCAUAUUUAAAUGGUUACCGCGUCAACAUCUUGUUUUAAAUUUAUUAUAUAGACAAAAAGACAAAAAAGAAAAGUGUAAGAGGAGGAGAGAGAAUGAAAUGGUACUAGAAGGUAGAGAAUCCUACUCCAAGUGUUCGCUAGGGGCGAGGGGGACCCUGAGAGCAAAAGACUCUUCGUCUUCAGGUUUGAGAGUAAACCCUUUACAUCCUACACCAUGCUAAUAAUAUCCACCAAUUCUCUAUUUUAUUUAUAAAAAAAUAAAUUAAAAAUAAAUUAAAAAAAAUAAAAAAAAACAUAUGAGGGUGAAUAGUACCAUGAUUGAUAUUUUAGUGUAAAUAUAUGAUUUUUCCUUAAAGUGAACAGUACCGAAAGUUUUUCGUUAAAAUUCUAUUUUCUUUAAUUAGUAAUUAAUAUUAAAGUUCGUCUAAGAUUAUUUUUUAAAGGAGAUAUAUAUUAAAAGUAUCAAAUAGAAAAAACAAGACAACAUCAUUCAAAAAAAAGAAAACUAAUGAAAAUAGCUUGAAAACUUUGAGUUUUAACGAUAAGGAUAAAGGGUAAAGUGAAUAGUACUAGGUUUGACUUUUUAGUGUAAAAAUAUGGUUUUUCGUUAAAAUGAACAAUAUCGCGGGCUUUUCGUUAAAACUCUCUUCAAAAAAGGGAAAGGGAUCAUUUUCGGAUCUGUUCUACCUAAUCCUCCUCAUCAAAUAAUCCGAGCUUUUGAAAUUUGAUCUAACAGUUAAAGUUAUUAUAACUUUUAGAAUUAGUCCGUAUUUUUAACAGUUUAAUCAAAUUUUAAAGAUCUAAAUUAUUUGAUAAUGAGAAUUAGAUGAAAAUGAUCAAAUGAUCCCUUUUCCAAAAACAGGAAAAAGAAAAACAAGACAGCAAGUUUCUUUUAACCAAGGUAUUAAAUAUCGGUAAUAUCGGAAAUAUCGGUAGUCUGAAAACACGGAAAUAUCGAUGGAAAUAUCGGUAAAAUAUCGAUAUCGAUAUCGAUAAAAAUUACAUGGAAACCACGGAAAUUGUAAGAAAAACUUAGAAAUUUUAAUUGAAACUUUGCAAGAUGUUUAUUUAGUCAAUUAUCUAUUAGUUUAUCACAAAAAAUUGGAAGGAAAUGCAUUGCAUGAUGGAUUUAACUGAUUUAAAUUGAUUAUAUAGCGAGCUGGCAAACAUUGUGAGUGUAAAAAAUAUAUAGUAAUUAAUGAAAAAAGUUUAAAGACACCACAAUUAUUAUAUAUAAUGAAUUAGUACAAUAUUUUACACUUUAUAUAUUGCAUUUUUUUUUCUCUCAGAUAACACACACAGACUGACACAUAGCCCGGAUAUUUUGAAAGCAGGUUUGGAUUUUUUUUUUCUUCUCUCGGAUAACACACACACACCCCACUUCUACACACACACACUUCAAAGUGCACCCCACUUCUACACACACACGCACAGACACACUGUAACAACCCAACCCCAAAUUUUUAUAUAUUUUCGUGGUUCCCCAAAUAAUUAUGAAAUUAUCGUUUUAGUCCCCUAUCUUAACCAAAUCUGGACCAUUCAUCUUGAUUUCCAAAUUCUCUCAAGCUACCACAUGGCAGCACCCUAGCACCCUCACGUAUCUCUCUCUCUCCCCACCCCGUGACCUCUUUCUCCUUCUUUCUUCUCUCUGCACUCACUCUCCCUCUCUCGAAGACCCUCACUCUUUCACCCUUUGACCCACACCCGAGAGCACCCACGCACACCCUUCGUGGUACUCCGUCGACGGCAUCGGCAUCGUCAUCACCUUCUACACGCCGUCGUCUCUCUCUCUCUCUUUCUCUCUCUCCCGUCACUGCGCAACUCGACGAAACCCCAAGAACCUCCGGCGAGUUCUUCAUGGGUUAUGGUUAGGUAAGCCUCGAACCUCUCUUUCCGUGUUGGUUUGUUGCUUGGAUGUGAUUAUUGAGGUUAUUCUGUCCUUUUUACCAAGGAUUUAGCACGGAAUCAGCCCGGGAAUAGGCGCACCCAUCUCCGGCGAGACCGUGGGUAUCGAGAGGUUUUCCGACCACCACGGGUCGUUUCACGGCAAAUGGAAGGUAUAAACGCACUCCUCUCGUCUCGUGCUUUUAUUUGAUACCUAGAUCGGGGUCUAGAACCCUUGUUUGUGGUCGACCGGAGCUGUAGAAGCUCCGGCGUUCUUCUCCGAGUAGCACGGUUAAAAAAAUAUCGCGAUAUUAUCGAUAUUAUCGAUAAUAUCGCGAUAUUUUGCCGAAAACCAUUUGGAUACCUAUUUAAAUAUCCAUUACCUGAAAAACCGAUAAUAUCGGCGAUAUUUCGCCGAUAUUAUCGAUAUUUUCUUCCAUGCUUUUAACAGAUGAAUUUUAUUAGAGGUGGAAUUGGGGUCCAACAUCCCAGGUGUUUUCUGAUAGCAUAACCCAAUAACGUCAAAUCCAUUAAUUUGAUUAUUUAAUAAAUGGCUCCCACAAUAGGAUUUGGAUCCUCUAUGAGACAAUUGGUCGGGAUCUUCCUGACCAGUAUUUGUGGGCCGUUGGAUUUUUAUCUAACGGUUAUAAAUAGGGGGACCCUCUAAAUUUAUAAUAAUUAUAGUCGUUGGAUAAAAAUUCAACGGUCCACAUACAUCGAUCAGGAGGAUCCUGACCAAUUACCUCAGAGAGGAUCCAAAUCCCCCACAAUACACCAAUCACGUACCCCUCCCAACCAAUUUACACAAUUUUUGUAACAGUAGGUCCCACAAUAUAUAAUAAAAAGGAAAUUUGACUCAUCAUUUGAAAAAAUAAAAAAAAAUUUAACAUUUAACUUCAAAUACUCAUUUUAGUCAUUAAAUAAAAUUUAACAAUUUAUAAAUGAGUAAUGUUAGAGAAGCUAAUUUUUUAGACUAAAUUUUAUAAAUUAUAUGUAUUUGUUAACGAUUAAAUUAUUAUUUAAGUGUUGCUUAAUGUUUAUAUAGAGCCACAACCCACAAAGUCCUACACAAAUAGCAUGUUUUAGUUAUGGAGGCAGUUGUGGUGGAUAUGAUCUGAUCACUUGAAGAAAAUGACGAGUCUGCGGAUCUUUGUGGAUCUUCAUCUUUCACAUGGGAGGUUUUAUGACUACACCUACCAAAUUUAAUCACAACAGCGAACUUGAUAAUGAGACAUCAAUAAUUCAACGAUUCAGAAAACUUCAAUUAAAUUGGGACCCAUAAAUAAAUAUGUGGAAUUCCUAAUACUUCUUUUGUAAUCGAUCAAAGCUAGAUCAUUGAUGCCUAAUUCAGAAAGAGGAGUGUUAUUGGCACUUUAAAAGUCUCAUUGUACACUCUUCACAAGUGUAUUUUUCUUUCUUAAUAUAGAAAGUUUGGAGUGUAGAAUAAGAUUUUUGGAAUGCUACUAACAAUUCCCUUCAAAAAAAGGUUUUUCUGUUUUGCAUGCAACAUCUGGACACAUGAAUAUUCUUUGGCAUUCUAAUUGCGCACACGUAUUAUCUUUCAAAUAUAGAAAAUUUGAAGUGCAAUUAAAUUUUUAGAAUGUAAAUAAAAGGGGAAACUUGAUAUAACUCCAAUUUUUUGAGCCAAUAGUAAGAAUAGUCCAAUUUAUUAAAAUAAAUCCAAUUCUUUAAAUUUAAUUAUUUAAUUAUCAAUAAUUAUCUCUUAAAAGAAAAAACUUAUUGUAAAAAUCAAAUUUCUUCCUAAUUAUCUCUUUGAUUAUUAUUAUUAUUUUUUUUUAUUUCUUGUUCUUCUUCCUGCUUUAACCCAUUUAUAGAUUUUUUUUAAUUUUUAUAAUCAACCUAUAUCAUAGGUUAAUUGUAUUUAUCUACCUAUAUGACAGAUUCUUUUUCAUAGUUAACAUGUCACAUAUUAAUGUGUCUUGCUUGUAGGUAUAUUAUAUUUUUUUUCUACCUUUUAGUUAGGUUUCAUAUCUCACUUAUAGGUAUAAUAUACAUUCAUAUAUUUGCUACUUGAUUUAGGGUAGAAUGUUUUGCAGAUAGAUUUAUGUUAGUAUAUUAAUUUUUUUUGUUUAUAAGAUAUUAAUUAGAUAUUUUGGAGUUGAAAAAUGCAUAAUAUUAAAAGAUUUUAAUUGAUUUUUAAUAUUUUUAGAAAAUAUAAAAGGAGUAUAAAAGAAAUAAAAACAUAUAAUUAAAUAACCGGAGUCACUCCUAAAAACACUCUAUGUUUUUGGACCUGGAUCUAAAAGCCCCUAAAUAAAAUUACCUUCUUUUAUUGGUUUUUUUAAGGCUCGCAAAAAUGGUUGUCUUUGUUGUUUGGCGAAGGAACUUCUUGGAUAUCAUCAUAUUGUGGUCUUCUUUUUCGCUUGUAUUGCUAAAAAAUAACUAAUUACAAAUCGAUUUUCAUCAAAAGGGUUGUUAAAUAAGAUAUUAAUUAAUGCUAUAUUUUUUUUCUUGAUACUGUUUGGGUCUCUCAACCUCGAUUUAUUAUUUUGCAUUUUAUUUCUUCCAUGAUCAUAUGUAUCUCCAUUGUUUAACAACAACUAAAAAUACUAUUGUUUCUUUAAAAAAAAGUACUAUGUAUUUGAUUAAGGCGAUUUUAUAUGACGAUGAGCAACAAAGUGGAGACGGUGCACUACACCUUUUAUUUUGCAUACCAUAGUUCAUACAUUACAAUCUCACAUAUGAUAUCCCUUCACGUACAUUUGUUACAAGGCAACUUACAAAGCAAAGCAUUUUAAUUACUUGUAAUCAAGCAAAAGGCACGCAUUAUUAACACAAAUAUUAUAUACUAACGAUGGACGUCACACUGUUUCACCAUUGCAUUCUUUUCCUUUCCUUAAUUUAUCAUGCCUUGAUAAAGUGAGCAUCAAGAUCCUUGACGAUGUUAACCAUCAAACCGACGUAUUUGUCCGGACUGCAACAUCCUCAGUCAGUUUCUCAUAUUCAGUCGACAAUUUUGCAAUGUUGCCUUCAUUCUUUUGAGUGAAUUGAUAGACCGGCUUGAAGCUCUUGUAAUACUGGAAGACAUCUCCUUCCAGUCCAUUCAGUGUUAUGGAUUUGUUCUCGUUGUUUGACUACACUUUUUCCUUGAAUACUCGAACUUCGUCCCCUAUGUAUUCACAAGAAAGUGGUCUCUAUAUUGACCAAGGAACAAUAAAGGGAGCGUUUGAUAAAUAAUUUGUUUUAAGUUUUCACAAAAAUGAAAAUUGAAGUUAUUUUUGUCAGUUUUCUAAAUUUAUAUUAGUAAUUUUUAUUUUUUGAAGACUGAAAUAACAUGAGAUUGUUGAAUUAUUGCGGCACACCUCGAUUCUUUACCAACAUAUUUUGUUCUAAUUAUCCAUUAUAUCAAUAUAUAGUUUUCACUUAUGGGUUAGUUGUUCGCUUGUGAAUCAGGGUUUAGUUAUUGCGAUCCUUCUAAUAUUGCUGGAUUAUGAUUAACAUAUAAUUGUGUUCUGAUCUUAGAGAAAAAGGUACAUAUCAUGUUAAAUACAUGAAGGUAUUUAUAUGAGACGAAGAGAAUGGUACCUUUUUAGACAGCUAAAUCGCCGUGGUUUGGCCGUAAAACGGCUUGAAAGUGGCUAACUCGAGACCAAGACAGCCACUUUCGAGCUGUUUUCCGGCCAAACCACGGCGAUUUAGCAAUUAAAAAAGGUACCAUUCUCUUUGUCUUGUCAAGAAGUAUGAUUUUCAUUUUUGAAUCACUUGAUUUCUGAGUAUUGAAGAAGUUAUGAACGUUUUGAAGUUUGCCCAGUUUCCGGUGAGUUUUCAAGUUUCACUUUGACCAAUCAACUUUGAGGCUAUUUUCCGGCAAUCUUCGGCAACCAUUGGGCUUCUAAAUAGCUGUAAUCUUAUUCUACACUUUCCUAUCUUCAUUUUGAUAUAUUAUGGGUCAAAUUUGGUUAAGAAACGAUUGAGUUACGAAACUUUGAAAAUUGCCCAAACUUCCGACCAAGAGCUCCGGAACACUUAACGGAGUUUUUAACGGAAUGACCAAAAUGAUGGAUGGUGGCCAAUCGCAGGGACCACUUUUAUCGAUUUGGAAUCUCAGGGACCAAAGUGAUGAGUUAUGCAAAUCUCAAGGACCAUUUUGGCGAUAAAAUUAUGAAAUUUGGUACAAUCUUCUUGACAGACUCACGAACCCGCUCCAAUUGGAAUCACUAAAAAAUUCUACCGUUUGAUUACUUUAUGCUUAAAACAAGUUCACAUGUCCUACAAUAAAAACAUAGAGCAAAGCAUCAAAAUGUCACUAAAAUAAUAACCAAAAUAUACCAAGAAUAGGGAAUAAUAUAUAGUAUAAAAUCGACUCAUCAUGACCUUGCAUGAACUUAUAAGUAAGUUGGGCUACUUUUCAUAUUGCCAAUUGGUUUUAUGGUGUCACCUUAACUUUCUUCAUACCCAUGUGUGAAGCCAAAAGACUACGUGCGCUCCAUGUCACCCAUUUGUGUUGCCCACCUGUUAGGCUUAAAAAAUUUCCACACAUGAGGAGGCGUAUUAAGAAUGAAUCUCACAUUAAUGGGAGGAGAAAUUUUGCAUGGACUUAUAAGUAAGUUGAAAAAAAAUAUUGGACAAAUAUUGUAGAGUACACCACAUUUUAUUUUAUAGAUGCGAUCGACAACCAUAAUCUAUUACAUCACAAUGUCAUAUAUGACAUCCUUCGUACAUCUUUUACAAUACACACAAACCUAAUUAAGAAAAGCAUUUUAUUUAAGUAGGUACGCAUUGAUGAACAUAUGCAUGCAUGAUUACAUAUAAUUGAACCCUUUUUAACAAGACCAGCAAAAGCUCUUUCCAACCGUUGCAUAUGACGUAUGGUUUUUAUUCAUUAAUUAAUUAAUUUAUGCUCCCAGAAGGUGAGCGUCAAGAUCCUGGACGAGUUUAACCAUCAAACCGACAUAUCUAUCUGGAGCUUCAACAUUCUCAUUCAGUUUCUCGUAUUCGAUCCACAGGUUGGCAAUGCAGGUGCCUUCAUCUUUUUGAGUGAAUUUAUAGACACCCUUGAAGCUCUUAUAAUACUUGAACACUUCUCCUUCCAAUCCUUUCAGAGUUGCAGCCUUGUUCUCAUCGUCUAGCUCCACCUGUUCCUUGAAUAUCCCGACAUGAUCCCCUAUAUAUAUGCAUGCAUGCAUUCAUGGUUAAUUUCAUAACAACAAAAUAUAUAAACUUUCUCACCCUCUCUUAUUAGGAUCUUGUUUCCACCGUAGGAAAAAGGGGGCAAUAUGACUUAUUUACGAAACAUGUAUUUACUGUAUAUGACUCUCAUUGUCUAGAACAAAAAUUGAAGGAAGCAUUGAAAUAUAUAUAAGAGGUCAUAUAUGGUAAAUACAUGAUUUCUACGAUUGUUCUAUCUCGACCUUGUUUUUGCUACAACAAAUCAGAAUUUCUGCGAAAAAGCUGUAAACAUUGAAACUCAUGCUAUGAACGUAUGAUGAUUUGAGCACAUCUGUUAAGGUAUACAUACAUAUAAAGUGAAUAAUUAAACAGGAAAAUUGAAUUAAGUAGCGGUACCUAGUUCAUAUUUCCAAAUCUUAACAGAGCCGUGUGUUUCCCAAUCUCCUUCAUGCACAUCAACUCCUUUGAUAUGGGUAUUAGAGAUGUUUGGGAUGAGGUGGGCGCUCUUGAACAUGUUGUACAACUUGUCAGCUGGUGCCUUAAUUUCUAUUUCAGUCCCAAUUUUACCAUGCAAAACCAUGUUUAUGAGCAGUUUUGAUGGGUGCUACUCAGAAAUUAUAAGAGAAGAAUGUUAAAGGAUAUGUAUAAUUUGGGCUCCUACCCUCCUUAAAUAGAAGCGACUAGAGUUAAAUUGCGAGAUAAAACUUAAUGUGUCCGGAACACGAUACAGUACGCCAUAUAUAUAAUAUAUGUAAUAUAAAUGGAGGGAAAGUUUUUUUAUUUUAUUUUAUUUUUUUCAAGUGUUUCUCUACUUGUGUAUGACAUACGACGUAUGUACCCGUGUUCUGGAUAUUAAAAAUUCUCUCAUAAUAUUUUAAUAGUGGGUAAUCCAAUUUAAAAACCAAAUCAUGCAACACGUGAUAAGGAUUAAGUCAUAUAUUUUUUAAAUCAUACUUCUCGGAUAAUUGGAAUCCUAUGAAGUAAUGAUCACAAGUUCACAAUAUGCAUGGAUAGAUGAAGGGUUUGCUCAUGAGUAAUGUUAGGGAAACCAAAUUUCUAAAUCAAAAUUUGUAAACAAAAUAAUGUAGAGGUAGAUGAUUGAAUUAUUAUUUAAGCGUUGAUUAAUAUGCUUAUUUCUUAUUAAUAACAUAUCAUUUGAUUUGUAUUCACGCAUGCGAUAAAGAUUAGAUUAGUACGAUCACACUAAAAAUUUAUUUGUAAAUGUUUUAAAAUAAAAUGUAAUUUAUCUGCAAAAUGUUUUUUUAAGGUACGAUAUUCUUUAAUAACAAAUUUAUACGUACAUCAAUGAGGAUAGGGUGUAAACAAAGGGCCUCGAUAAAAACCUUGCCGGGGUUUUCAACCCGUUCGAAGAGAGAUUUUUCAAUGUGACCGUCACACAAGGAGGUACACCACGUGUCUCUAUGUAAAUGGUUAUAUAUGUGUGUUAAAAGAUUAAUAACUUAAAAAUUAAAAUUUUCCACCACUUACAUAAAAACACGUGAUAUACCAUCCGUGUUCCCGUCACAACUAAAAAUUUUCCCUAGUCGAAUGGUAAAAGAGUGUCCCACACCAACAUAAUUAAUUAGGAAUUGCUAUCCUCAAAGAGAAGAUCAAGAAUUACAUUAGGAAGUUCCUCAAACCAAACCACAGUGUUACCAUAACUCAAGCUCAUAUGUGCUAGCCUGCGUGCCACCUUGUUCGUCUCCCUUCGACUAAAUUCAAUCUUCCACUUGAACAAUGAAUGAAUAAUUGCGUGUGUCGUUUAGAAUGUUUCCAAAAUGUGACAUGUCAACACUUCCUUCUGCAAAAUGUUUUAGAAUAAAAAGUUUUAUCUCUAUUUAUUUAUUAUCAUUAUUAUAUUUCUGGAAAGAUCGAUACGUAUGGGCCAUGGCGUCUGGUUUUUUUGUCAUGGCGUCUGGUUUUUUUGUUAAAAAGCCAUCAAAUGGGGAGGCAGCGAUGAGGUAUUAGGUAUCCACAAAUGUCAGUUCACAAAAUAUUAUACUAAAAGUAAUUGAAAAGAAUCAAACAAAUCAAACAAAUAUUAAUUCUUUGCCCAAAAUAAUCCACUAAAAAAAGGGUCCACAGCAUAGUUUUUUCCACUAGAGUUUAUCGAUCCUUGAAGACUAUCAUUGAUGAUUGAUCAUCCAACAGGUGCAUUAUUUAUUUUUUAACAAACGCUAAUAGUUACACUAAGGGAAUGGAGGAGUGUGUUAAGUCUUACAAUAGGCUUGGCAAAAUAAUGUGAUUCAUUUUCGUUUAUGGCGAGAAUCAAAUCUAAGAUCUCUUACAUAUAAGUGAAGAGGGAUAGCACUAGACUGUAAUACUAAAUGGCCACAUACAGUAUUUAUAGAUAACAAUAAUAACAAGAAAUACUUUUUUUUUUUCAUGCUGGACCAUUUUUUCUAAGGUGAUGCUAGAAAUACCUUCUUUUUAAACUACAAUUGUAAAUCACGUGAUGUGGCGGUUAAUGGUCAGAUUUUUUUUUUACUCAUUAAAAAUGUAAUCCAACUAUCAACAGCCACAUCAUUUGAUUUACAAAAUUUGGUCUAAAAAGAUGGUCUCCCUAGCAUUUUGCUUCUCUGUAUAACUUUUAGUCAUGACUCUAUACCGACUUUCAUUUCUAGAUUUUAAAAUUACGCCACGCUACUCGUUAGGUCCGAUUUCAAAAAAUCGAAAACAGAAAGAAAAAAAAUUGAACCAUUCACCAAACCAAAACAGCAAGAACAAAAAAUUAAAAUUGAAUAAGCAGAAUCGAACCAAAAUUUUGGUUCGAUUCGAUUUCGGUUUUAGUAGUUCAAAAACCGAACUGCACUGAAAUACCUUGUAACCAUAACAAGUGCAUUUGUUACACUUGACUAUCUCGGACUGGAUUAAGCUCAGGGACUAAGUUAGACUGGCUUAGACUAGACUAAACUGAAUUAAUUUAGUUAAGUGUUUGUUCCAAUGCCGGACUAACAAGCAAAAUAAUAUUUUUCUUUUUUUUUCUUUUUCUUUUUCUUUUACCAUUUUCUACAACACAUUCUCUUUUGAGAAAGUUCUCCCUUUUCUCCAUUUUUUUUCUUGAAAUGUUAUCCUCACAACCCAGAAUCAACGUCUGCUCGAUUGGGUUCUUCUGAUAAUCCCUAAGUGGAGCCUCUGCAACCACAGCUUCAUCUCAAUCUUUUGCACAUCUUCACAAAUUCGCUCAAAUCACAAAAUCCAAAUUCGCGGGAAUUGCAAAAACCCAUAUUCAAUUCCAAUUCGCUUGAAUCACAAAACCCAACUUCGUUGGAAGUGCAAAUCACAUAUUUGAAUCAUGAAACCCAAACUUGAAAUGCAAACCCCAAACUCAAAUUGCAAAUCCAAAAUUCCGUUCGAAGCUUUGCAACAUUUGCAUAAAUCAGUUUCCACCCACAAAAUCGAGUAAAGUAAAUGAUUGAGAGCGCAUGAGGAGGAAGCGGGCCUUCCAGAAGACGUGACUUAUUUUUGUGUUCUUUGAGAUUCGAAAUGAACAGACGAAGAAAUCCUGGUUUCGCGAGUGUAGGCAACGGCAAAGCAAGCAAACGAAGCAAGCAGGGAGAGGAGAGAGGAUGCGAUGCAGAGAGAGAACAGGACGGAGCAAGGUCUUAGCAAUCCCAUGGUUUUCCCGGGGAUUGGCCAAGACCUAGUGAAGGAGAUAAGCCGUGCGAGUCCUAUUUAAUCCCACUUAACUUAGUCUGUAACUUAGUCCGUGAACGCAACAAACACGGGAGUACCCUAAUGUUUAAUCCUAUCUAGUCCAGUGAUAGUUAACGAGUCCAAACAAACGCACCCUAAGUGUAUUCCUCCUCUCCUCCUCGUCCUCAUCGCUUUAGUUCAAUCCUCUCCUAACUUAAGUCAUGUUCCUCUGCGCCUCUGACGCUCCACGUCCUCAAUCUUCAAUCCUUUCUCGACGUCUUCAGGUCAUCUCCAACCGAAGGGUCCAGAAGGCCAAAGGGCCUAAAAUAGCCCGAAAACCGUCUCCAACUGAGGGCUAGGCCAUAGGGCUCUAGAAUCUGGGAGGGCCCCACGGAAUCGGAGAGGGCUUAAGGGCUGGCCUUUUUUUUUUUAAUGUUUUGUUAUUUCUAUCGGUUAUAACCGACAGAAAUAAUAUAUAUUAUAUUAUUAAUGUCGGUUAUAACCGACACUAAUAGCAAUGUUAAUAUAAUAUCAGUUUGAACAGUGUCGGUUAAAAUCGACACUAAUUUGAAUUCCAACGGCUAGCCAGUCACUAGCCGUUGUAUUCAAAUUUUUUUUUUCUUUUUAUGAAUUUAAACCUUUUUUUUUCUAUAACUUCCUAUAACUUUUUUUCUAUAACUUAUAUUUUACAAAAUUUGGUUCAUAUUUUUUCGUAUAACUUCUAUUUCACAAAAUUUGUUUCAUAUUUUUUUUUAAAUUCUAUUUUUUUCUAUAACUUCCUAAGCCAUUAUACAACAUUAAAUUAAAUUAAGUAACAUAAAACAACAUUAAACAAUAUGAAACAACAUUAAAUAACAUUAACCAACAUAAAAAUUAUACAACAUGAAACUUAAACAACAUUUUUAAAAACAUUUAGCCGUUGGAUUUGAAUUUAAGUUGUAGUUUUUAAAUAAUAAAUUAUGUUUGGCGUGAUGGCUCUUUGGCCCUCGGUUGGAGACGGUUUUUUGUGAUAGGACUAAAACGAGCCAUCUAGCCCUCGGUUGGAGACGGAGACAAAUAUAAUCAUGUACUGUUCAUUAAAAUAUUAAUAUCUUAGAGAAUCUUGAAGGGCCAAAGGGCUAAAACGAGCUAUCUGGCCAGCCAUCGGUUGGAGAUGGCCUCAUGUUUCAGAUAAUCAGAAUCACCUCGAUAGACAAAGAAAAAGAGGGACGUCGAGAUCCCUCCAUCGCAACUCCUUCACCGCUGCUCUUCCAUCACAGCUCCACCGAAACCUGUCACCCUUUAAUCUAACAGUGUUUGCUGUUGAAUAAUUUUUUUUUUUUUGACAAGUCAUAGGAUAAUCCAAAUUUACCGAAACUACGAAGAGGGAAAUAUUUUGAACACAAGACGCAGUGAGUUAAAUAGAAAGAUAAUAAAUUUCUAUAUUUGGAUCAUCAUGAAAUGAAUUAAGAACAAAGGAAAUUGGUCGUUAUAGGACAGUUACAAAUUUUUGUUGCUGAAAUAGUAAAAUCAACACGACCGACAUAAGGCUUGACACGUGAAAUGUCUCAAAUGGCCAUGUACGUAUAUUACCUAGAAGAACACGAUCGAUCAUAUUGAUUUUCCUAUUACUUUCAGCAAAAAGGUUUUGUAAUGUCCUACAACCACCAUUUUUGCCUAGUCCAUUGAAAAUGAAAAGAGAAGCAAAAACACAAUCCAAUAUCUAGAUGGUAUAUCAUACUUUUGAGAUUCGAAAUCCUAUUUGUAUGAUGUAAUCAGUAACUGUGCACAUCAGCCAUGCAUAAUUGAGAUCCAGUUAAGAUUUAUACAUUAAAUUAUAUACAGAAUCAUCUUUGUAAACAUGAGGUAUUGAUCACUUAUUUAGCAGAUCUAUCUUUUCUGGAACUAACUGUAACCGGAGAGGCAGAAAGGCGAUUAUGUUCAUCUGAAACCACCGGGUAAUCGAGUUUCUUACUAUUGUUUUCAUCUUUGUAAGACUUUGAAGGAGAUGCUGAUCCAAAUAUCUGCACUGUUAGGCUUCCACCCGCAGAGAGAAACAAGAAGUAAACAUGAAUAAUGCAUACCAAAAACAAACAAGUAUACAUCAACCUACAAGACGCUUGGGGAUAUGCUGAAGUGCAGGGGAAAGGAUAAUGCAUUGGUCCUUCAUGAUAUAACCAAAUGAGCUGGCUUAGUCGCGCAUACGUUGUACCUCGGAUUGGAUUAAAAUUAGGGAACUUUAAUGAAAAGCACCCGGUACUGUUCACUUUAACGAAAAACCACAUUUUUUCACUAAAAAGUCAAUCCUGAUACUAUUCACUUUACCCUUUAUUUUGUCCUUAUCAUUAAAACUCAAAGUUUUCAAGCCCCUUUCAUUAGUUUUCCUUUAAAAUUACCGUAAGUAGUAAGAAGCUCAAAGUUUUGUCCAAAGGGUUGAAAACUUAAAGUCUAAGACACAAGGGAAUAAUCAGGUUCCACAAGGAUGCCGCCCAUGAUCCCCAUGGGAAUUUAUAAAGAACUAUGAAGUAUGUCACAGUUUGAGUUUGAAUAUUGGUACUGAAGUUCGGUAAACUUCUACCCAAUAUAACGUCUAGUUGACAGUACGCUCAAUCCUAUAUAACCACUGUUUUUUCUACGGUAAAAGGUGGUUCGAACAUCUAGCAUGAAACUGGAUAAAUCUUUGCUGCUGAAAGUUUGUUAAAUUCAAAGCAUUGCGCUUAUUGAUGGUCUACUUGGUAGUUUACUAAUACUAGGUAAUGAUAAAUAAAAAUUGUGAGGUAGAGGUUUUUUUUUAUUCCCUCUAACCAGAGGUAAAGAGUACUUUACCUAGCACCAGAGCAGCGCCAACCCAACCAGUAGCACCCCACCUUUCCCCAAGGAGAAACCAUGCAAAAGCAGCACCCCAGACCGGCUCCAAACUAUAAAUUAUUGCUGUUUCUGUUGCUGAUACAUCACGCAUUGCGGCCAUCUGGAAAAAAUACUUUCCAUCAAAACUUUAAGCUAAAAAGAUGCGUUGCAAAUAAAACAAUAUUGGAGAGUUUUUUUUGUUUGGAAACAGCAUAAGUAGUAUACUCAACCAGAGGUCCUAUAAUUUACAAAUAUUAAUUUUUUAUACCGGCGAUAAGAUAAGCUUUAUAUCGGAGAUAUUUGUAUCCAUUGAAUCACUAGUAACUUAGAAUAGUAAAAGGUCGUACCCAGUGCACAAGGCUCCCGCUUUACGCAGGGUCUGGGAGAGGUGAAUGUCGGCUAGCCUUACCCACUCUCAGAUCAGCAUUUACACAUACCUCUACCCAUAAGCAUAGACCAGUCGAAAAUAUGCCCGAGUACAGUGCAGGUAUCCAUGGGAACACAACCAUCCAUUCCCAGAACAUACCGCACGUCCAUAACGAUGGGUUAAAAUCUUGGAGGCCACCCGACCCUACUCCAACACAGUACCAUAUUGUUGACAUGACAGUAACAACACAUACCUGAAUGGAAUCUUAGAACCUUAGAACUGUCCACACCACCAAUAAAGAUUAACAAGUAGCAUUAAUCACGAUACAAUUACCAUGGACAUAACAUAAGGACAACAUAUACUAACCUCAUAACAAACCAGGUACGAGCAGGAACUAUUGCUCAUGACAUACCAUCAAGCAAGGGAACUAUAACUACCUGUUAAAUUCAACAAGAAAAUGCCAAACAUUGUAUCUUCAGGUACUCCCAGAAAGCAAGAAAUUUGCCUUCCCAUAAAUGCAUAGAAGGUUAAUAAAGGUACUUACAGUGAACAUGGACUGAAACGAUGCACGACCAGCAUCUGAAGUUUGCAAUCCCAGUGCCUGCAUGAGAUACCCUAGACUGACCCAGGGACCCAACUCAAUCCCUGCUUUACAUGUCUGAGCAUCACCUCGAGCUUGGAACACAAAAGGGAUGAACGGAAUGGCUGACACAGCAAACCGCACAAUAGUGAAGGCUGCCGGGUCCAUGACGGCUUCCACCUCUUUUACAAUCGAGAAAUUACUGGCUACUGUUGGAAAUUCAAAUUAAAAGUCAUGUGAUCUGUCCAUGUGAUGCUAACCUUUCUUUACAGAUUGUUUCCAGCAAAAUAUAAUCAUCAUUGCUCCUUCAUUAUUCAGCCGAAUGGUGAUGAAAGACAGCAAGUGUGCUGCCAUGUGAUGUGCUAGCAGGAAGACAGCAGUGUGCUGCCAUGUGCUAGUCGAAUCUGUGUUAUUUGCAGCUGGAAAGACAGCUGCUGUGUGCUAGCCGAAUGUAGACAACCUGGAAUACAUUUGGUCUUUUCAUUUUCACGUUCCCAUGUGUUAAAGACAGCAGAUAUGCUGCUGUCUGUGUGCUGUCAAUGGAUGGUGUAAAGGUGUAGGUUGUCUUGUAUUUAAGGAAGCCUCUCGUAAGGCUUCAGUGUGCAUAAGAAAAAUCCCAUCUGAUUUGUCAUUCAGUUCUUGAAGUGUAUUUGCAAUCUGUUUUUAAUAUCAAAGUGCCUUGUUUCCCAAAGCUUGUAGCUUCCCUCAUUUCUCUAUUUUUGUCCAAUUUUAUUGAGAGUGAAAGUGAGAGGUGUGAUAGAGUUUGUAAACUUAUCAACCACAUAUUUUGGUAUUGAGUUAGUAAACUUCUCAAUACCAACAGUUGGUAUCAGAGCCAGAAUACCAUUCUGGCAGGUGCAGCAGUUAUGGCAUCCAACUUAGUGCAGCUCCAAGUUCCCACAUUGAAGAAAGAAAAUUAUGAAAGAUGGUGCAUCCAAUUCAAAGCAUUGUUUGGAUCACAAGAGCUAUGGGAAGUUGUCAGUAAUGGGUAUGUUGUACCCACUACCGAGCAAGAAGCCACAUAUACUGCAGAUCAAAGGAACACUCUCAAGGAUUUACGAAAGAAGGACCAGAAGGCGUUGUAUCUUCUCUAUCAAGGAUUAGAAGAUUCAACGUUCGAGAAGGUUGCAGAAGCAACAACGAGCAAGCAAGUAUGGGACACACUCAGUACAAUCUACAAAGGAGUAGAUCGAGUCAAGAAAGUGAGGUUACAGUCACUUCGAGCAGAUUUUGAAACUGCUCACAUGAAUGAAGGGGAGAGCAUCUCCGACUAUCACUCAAGGCUCAUUGUGAUAGUAAAUCAGAUGAGGAGAAAUGGCGAGAGACUCGAUGAAGUACGAGUUGUGGAGAAGAUACUUCGGUCACUCACAUCUAAGUUUGAGCAUGUGGUGACUGCCAUUGAGGAAUCCAAGAAUUUGGAGGCGAUGAGCGCAGAGGAGCUACUAGGAUCCCUCCUAGUUCACGAGCAACGCAUUCAGAAGAAUGCAAGCCCCACAACACUAGAGCAAGCUUUGGAGUCAAAAUUGAAAAUUGACAAACCAAAUAAAGGUCGUGGGCAGUGGAACUCACGUCGUGGGAGUUCAUCCAACCGUAGCCGAGGACGAGCCCGAGGAAGAGGUCGAGGCUAUGAACAAAACCGAGGUCAAUCUCAAGAGUGGAGAUCUACCCGAGGAAAUGCGCAUAUCCAAUGUCACACUUGCAAGCAAUAUGGACAUUAUGCCAAUGAAUGUUCACAUAAAAAUGGUGAGCAUGUCAACAUGGCAGAAUCAAGUGGAAAUACUGAUGAAGAACUUACAGUCUUGCUAGCACACCAUGAUUCCAGUAGCCAACAAGAUGUUUGGUAUUUGGACUCUGGUGCAAGCAAUCACAUGUGUGGAAAGAAGGAGUUUUUUGCCGAACUCAAAGAUGGGGCCUAUGGAUCUGUAAGUCUUGGUGACUCCUCAAAGUUGCCAGUUGAAGGCAAAGGGAAGAUCAAGAUCAUCCAGAAUGAUGGUAGAGAAGAAUACAUCUCCGAUACCUACUACAUACCAGGUAUGAAGAGCAACAUUCUGAGCAUUGGUCAACUGCUCCAGAAAAGGUAUAUUAUACAUAUGGAGGAUAUGUUUCUCACUCUCAGGAAUGCAAGGAGAAAACUUAUUGCACGUGUUCAAAUGUCAAAGAACCGAAUGUUUCCCGUUGAAGUUGAACACAAAGAUUGGGAGUUGCAACAUCGGUGUAAUGGAAGAUGAGUCAUGGAAAUGGCAUCUUCGAUUUGGCCAUCUUCAUUUCAAUGGCCUAAAGUUGCUGUCAAGUGGAGGAAUGGUUCGUGGUCUACCCCAGAUUGAAGUCACACGCCAAGUAUGUGAAGGUUGUGUGCUUGGCAAGCAAGCACGACUAUCAUUCCCUGUUGGUGAUACAUGGAGAGCAAAGGCACCACUGCAAAUGGUACACACGGAUAUAUGUGGUCCAUUGGAUCCUAUUCUUAUGGAGGUAAAUAGGUAUUUUAUUACUUUCAUUGAUGAUUUCAGUAGGAAGACUUGGGUUUAUUUUCUCAAGGAGAAGUCGGCUGCCCUAAAAAUCUUCAAGGAGUUCAAGGCACUCACAGAGGCUGAAAGCAACCACAAGCUUGUGGCUGUGAGAUCAGAUAGAGGUGGAGAGUACACCUCCAAUGCUUUCCAAGCAUACUGCAAGGAGCAAGGAAUUAGGCAUCAACUGACUGCUGCCUAUACCCCACAGCAAAAUGGGAUAGCCGAAAGAAAGAAUCGAACCAUCCUUGACAUGACAAGGUCCAUGCUUAAGGAGAAGAAUUUGCCAAAAGAAUUGUGGGCAGAAGCUGUAGCUUGUUCGAUUUAUUUGUUGAAUCGAUGUCAAACAAAGAGUGUCAAAAGGAUGACACCACAAGAAGCUUGGAGUGGAUAUAAGCCGAGUGUUGCACACCUAAGAGUUUUUGGGUGUGUUGCAUAUGCUCAAGUUCCAGAAGCCAAGAGGAGAAAGCUCGAUGAUCGAGGUGAGAAGUGUGUGUUGGUGGGCUAUAGUGAAGAGUCCAAGGCAUACAAGCUCUACAACCCACUAACUGGCAAGCUAGUGGUUAGUAGAGAUGUCAUCUUCAGUGAGGAAGAGGCAUGGAAGUGGAACAACAAAGAAGUCAGUAAAGAGAAAGAUCGUCUCCACUAAUUUUGAAGAACCAGAAGUUGUACCACCUGUUGAGCAACAACCUGCUCAAACACCACAACAACUCCAUUGCACAGAACUGCAAGGAGUGGUCCUACAUCUAGUGAAGAAAGCAGCUCUUCAACUCCAGUGUGAGACUAAGAAGUCUCACCGAGAUAUAUGGACAAGAAGAAGAAGAAGAAACCAACCUUUUCUGCUUGUAUGCAGCCCACGAGCCUCUCUCAUUCAAUGAAGCUGUGGAGAAGAUCGUUGGAGAAUAGCCAUGGAGGAAGAAAAUCCAUGCCAUCGAGAAGAAUGACACUUGGAGUUGACAAAGCUCCUACCAAAUCAGAAGGCAAUUGUGUGUCAAGUGGGUGUACAAGAUCAAACGCACUGCAGAUGGGAGUGUGGAUCGGUACAAAUCAAGGCUUGUAGCAAAGGGCUACAAACAAAAGUAUGGAGUGGACUAUGAUGAAGUCUAUGCUCCAGUUGCAAGACUUGACACGGUAAGAUUACUAAUCUCUCUUGCCGCUCAUUUCAUAAAUGGAAAAUUUAUCAACUAGAUGUCAAGUCAGCCUUCCUUAAUGGAGUACUUGAGGAAGAAGUGUACGUGGAACAACCAGAAGGCUUCCAAGUACAAGGAGAGAGAAGAAAAGGUGUAUCGUUUGAAGAAGGCUUUGUAUGGCCUCAAGCAAGCACCACGAGCUUGGAACUCAAGGAUUGACAACUACCUUCACCAAAAUGGAUUUUCAGAAAUGUCCAUACGAGCAUUCAGUUUACAUGAAGAAUGGUGCAAAAGGGGAGUUCUUAAUUAUUUGUCUCUAUGUAGAUGACUUGUUGUUUACAGGAAACAAUGAAGCAAUGUUCUGUGAGUUCAAGCAAUCCAUGUUCAGUGAAUUCGAGAUGACUGACAAUGGAUUAAUGUCAUACUUUCUUGGCAUAGAGGUGAAGCAAGAAAGUGACGGUAUCUACAUUCUCAACAAAAGUACAUGAGAGAUAUAUUGGAGAAAUUCAAUAUGGAUAAGUGCAAUAUUGUCAACACUCCAGUUGCAACUGGAUUGAAGCUGUCCAAGGAAGGAGAAGGUGAGUUUGUAAACUCAACCGUGUACAAAAGCUUGGUUGGAAGUCUAAGGUACCUUACAAUCACAAAGACCUGAUAUAGUUUAUGGUGUUGGACUCGUGAGUCGGUACAUGGAAAUACAAGGGAGUCUCAUUGGCUGGUUGCCCAAGAGAAUCUUGAGGUACAUAAGAGGUACUCUAAAACUAUGGUCUGUUUUAUAAUUUUUGGUGAAGAUGCAAAAUUAUUUUGGUUAUUCAGAUAGUGAUUGGGGAGGUGACCAAGAUGAAAGGAAAAGCACAACUGGCUAUGUGUUUUUUCUAGGAUCAACAGCUUUCUCAUGGACUUCAAAGAAGCAAUCAAUUGUUGCUUUGUCAUCAUGUGAAGCCGAGUAUGUUGCUGUAGCCUCAACAGUAUGUGAAGCAAUUUGGUUAAGAAAUCUAUUGAAGUCAGUGUGUCAUCCACAAGUGGAAUCGACUGUGAUUCAUGUGGAUAACAUGUCUGCAAUCAAGCUUGCAAAGAAUCCUGUUCAACAUGGAAGGAGCAAGCACAUUGAUACCAGGUUCCAUUUUCUAAGGGACCAUGUGAAGCAAAAGACAAUAGAGCUUGUCUAUUGUCACACGAAGGAACAAGUGGCAGACAUCUUCACUAAGCCAUUACCAGUUGAAUCAUUCCGGCUAUUACGUGAAAUGCUAGGCAUGAAGGCGUUUUAAUUUGAGGGGCCAUGUUGGAAAUUCAAAUUAAAAGUCAUGUCAUCUGUCCAUGUGAUGCUAACCUUUCUUUACAGAUUGUUUCCAGCAAAAUAUAAUCAUCAUUGCUCCUUCAUUAUUCAGCCGAAUGGUGAUGAAAGACAGCAAGUGUGCUGCCAUGUGAUGUGCUAGCAGGAAGACAGCAGUGUGCUGCCAUGUGCUAGUCGAAUCUGUGUUAUUUGCAGCUGGAAAGACAGCUGCUGUGUGCUAGCCGAAUGUAGACAACCUGGAAUACAUUUGGUCUUUUCAUUUUCACGUUCCCAUGUGUUAAAGACAGCAGAUAUGCUGCUGUCUGUGUGCUGUCAAUGGAUGGUGUAAAGGUGUAGGUUGUCUUGUAUUUAAGGAAGCCUCUCGUAAGGCUUCAGUGUGCAUAAGAAAAAUCCCAUCUGAUUUGUCAUUCAGUUCUUGAAGUGUAUUUGCAAUCUGUUUUUAAUAUCAAAGUGCCUUGUUUCCCAAAGCUUGUAGCUUCCCUCAUUUCUCUAUUUUUGUCCAAUUUUAUUGAGAGUGAAAGUGAGAGGUGUGAUAGAGUUUGUAAACUUAUCACCCACAUAUUUUGGUAUUGAGUUAGUAAACUUCUCAAUACCAACAGCUACAACAAGCGAACAAAAUGAGUGAAACAAAUUUAAAAUUGUGAUCCACACACUUCCAAUGCGCCUCUGGAGCCCGAAUUUUAUUCCAAGCAACUCCCAAUCAACCAGCAUUUCGUUUGCAUUUUCGUUAUACAUUAGUAAUUGAAUUUUUGUUAGAAAGUAAUUCUGCCCCCUCAAUACAAAACGCGGUAAGCUCUUAGUUCGAUCUUCACCUAAAGCUCUACAUGAUCUCUCCGUUCAAGGCCUAAACCCUAUAUUUCAUUUCCCUUUACACACAUCCUUCUAAGUUUUCUACUUUUGCUCAAAAAUUCGAAAUUUUACUUUGCGUAUUAUCAAGUGAAAUAUUUUCCCACAUUUUCAUGGUUUUUAUGAACAAUCAAACACUUUUCAUAAGGAUUCGACGUAAACUAGCAGUGAAGGCUGUCGACUACCUGACGCCCUCCCCCUCCUUCUUUAUCCGGGCUUGGACCAGCAAUGUAAGAUAAACUUUAUGAACAAUCAAACACUAAGCAGAAAAUAAUUUAUGAAAAUAUUAAAAAGGUUUAAAAAGGAAGAAGCUUUUUACCAUGAGCGACGGUGAUGACGUUGAGCAAGAUGAUGCUCCUAACUUUCUUGGAAGCGAAAAAGAUCCUUCGCCAUAGAGAUCGUUUGCCGAACAAGGACUUGAAGCUUAGGGUCGUUACUCUCCUUUCGUCUUGCGAUCGAUUUCCACUAGAAUUUUUAACCAAUGUGGUUGGGUUCGGAUUCCGAUUCGGAUUCGGACGAUCCAAUUUCACUGGCUUUCAAAGUCCCUGUUUGGCAUUAGGUUUAGAGCUACUACUAGGAGAAGAAGGAGGAGGAGGAGGAGGAGGAGGAGAAGAAGCGGUUAAACGGGAUCGUUUCCGGGGAUUUGUGUGGAAGGAAGAGAAAGUUGAGAAGUUAGAAGAAGAAGAGCAUUUGAUGGCGGUGGUGGCGCAAAUUGAUGAGUUCCACGACCACCCGAAUGGUGAUUGGGCAGCCAUGCCUGAGCACUGGAGCACUGAACCCAGAACAACUGCGCGUUGUGGCUGGCUGGGAUUAAUUACCAGUUACACCUGAAAUUACUGAAACACCCUCGUUGAGAUUUUGGUUAAGGAAGUUGAUAUUUUGGUCAAGGAGUAAACUGUCGGUUUACCCCCUGAACUUUUACCUCACUUUCGAUUUCCCCCUGAACUUUUCCAUUGGAAAAUUAAGGACUCAAACUAAUUUUUUUAGCCAAUUUGCCCCCUACCGUUAGUUUUUCAUAUAUUCUAUCCAUAUUUCCGUUAAGUGAGACCAUGUGCACAACAUGUGAGGGUAGUUAAAUUAUUUCACUCUUAAAAAUGAUUAAAAAACUGAAAAUAAUAAAAAAAGCAAAACUUUCCCUCUAUUUUUUCCUGCUAAUUCCUAUCCUCGAUUUUAUUUUUCCCUCUCAUUCCUAUGCAUGAGAAAUGACAUAUAGUGUUAUUGUCUACCAUUUUUAUUUUCUCUAACAAAUUAAUAAUUUGACAAAUGCUAAUGGUGCUAUUGUCUCCAAAGCAGUGCAUUAAUAUAAGAAACCCUAGUCUUUUUUAUGGACAUGUUUCUUAUAUUAAUGCACUGCUUUUGAGACAAUAACACCAUGAGCAUUUGUCAAAUUAUUAAUUUGUUAGAGAAAAUAAAAAUGGUAGUACAUGCUUCAAAAAAAAGAUUAACUUAGCUACUUAUGAAGACAAUAACACCAUAUGUUAUUUCUCAUGCAUAGGAAUGAGAGGGAAAAUUAAAAUUGAGGAUAGGAAUUAGCGGGAAAAAAUAGAGGGAAAAUUAUUAUUAUUUAUUUAUUUUUAGUUUUUAAUCAUUUUUAAAUUGAAAUGACUUAACUAUCCUCACAUGUUAUGCACAUGAUCUCACUUAACAGAAAUAUGGAUGGAAUAUAUGAAAAACUAACGGUAGGGGGCAAAUUGGCUAAAAAAAUUAGUUUGAGUCCUUAAUUUUCCAAUAGAAAAGUUCAAGGGGGAAAUCGAAAGUGAGGUGAAAGUUCAGGGGGUAAACCGACAGUUUACCCUUUGGUCAAGUCUCCGACUAUCAGUUAAAAUAUCUAUAAAAAAUUAUUAGGACGGUUCAGUUCGGGUUAUCUAAAAGUUAAUAUAAAUAAUGUUGGGCAGAUUAAAUUUUCAGAUCAAAUUAAUAAAAAUGAAAAUGUUAAUUAAUAUUUAAUAAUAAUUUAAUCACCAACUAUCAUUUUACAUGAUUUAUAAAAUAUAAUUUAAAUAGAUGGUAGCUUUUGUUCUUUAGUGCUUUUGCUAAAAGCUCUUUUAUCAUUAUGAGAUUGAGACUUUAAUUAAAAAACUAAGUUUGAGACUUUAAUUAAAAAACUAAGUUCUUCUCGAAAAAUAUAAGCAUGCCAAUAGAUUGAACUUGUUUAAAACAUCAGCAUUAUAAUGAUAUCACACUCAAUUCAUUAUUUCUCAGAGAAUUAAAGACAAACCAAAUCGGAAACCGAAAUAAGCAACAGUGCUAACUAGCUUGCUCAACUCUCAGGCCUUUAUUCUUGAAGAUAGUAAUAUUACUCAAUGUUCCAUAUCGUAUAUGUAUGCAUAAAUCUUGUGCUUGGCGCUUAUUCCUUGAGAAGAUGUGCAUCAACAUCUUUAAUGACAGUGACCGCAAAGCUGAGGAACUUCUGUGGAGGCGGAUCGUUCUCGUUGAGUUUUUCAUAUUCUAAAGUAAUUUUCACAGAACUUCCUUCACUAUUUGGAGUGAUGAUCUGGUAAGUGACCUUGAAGCUUUUGUAAUUGUCCAGCACAUGUGAUCCUUCCAAAGCUAUAAGACUCACCCGAUUGUUUGCUUCAUCUAUUUCCGCCUUUUCCUUGUAAGUCUCGACAUUUCCAUCUAUACGUCACAUGGAAAAGUACCCGGUCACCAGAGUCUCGACAUUUUCAUAGAAGGUUUAAAAAAUUAAUUGUUAGUUUGAUUAGUUAGGAGGAGAGAGGAAUGUUAUUAAUAUUACCUAUGGUGUAUUUCCAGAGCUUGACAGAGCCAGAAGUUACCCAGUCACCUUCAUGUACCGUAACAUCGUGUAUUUUAUCAGAGGCUGCUUUGGGGACGUCAUGGUGCUGGUAGCUGAUGAAUUUGUACAGCUGAUCAGCGUUGGCUUUGAUCUCUACCUCAGCCUCCAGAGUCUCCAGCUUGCAAGUACCAGCUCCACUCACAGCCAUUUUCUUUUAUUUGUUAUUUAUAAUAUGUGAAUAACGAUAGUGUAAGUCUGGGGAAUUGUAGGAGACGUAUACAAACCUAUUGGUUUCCACUUCUUAUGCCAAAUCAAGGGAUCCGAGUCUUUUAAAUUUGAUUCAAUCAGGGAGCUCCUUUAAAAGUUAUAAUACUUUUAGAUCCGAAAAGGAUCCCUUUCCUUAGUUAUGGAGGCAAUUGUGGAUAAGAUCUGAUCACUUGAAGAAAAUGACGAGUUUGCGGAUCUUUGCGGUUCUUCAUCAUUCACAUGGGAGACUUUAUGACUAGACCUACCAAAUUUAAUCGCAACAACGAACUUGAUAAUGAGACAUCAACAAUUCAACAAUUCAAAAAACUUCAAUUAAAUUGUGACCCAUAAAUAAAUAUGUGGAAUUCCUAUUACUUCUUCUUUUGUAAUCAAUCAAAGCUGAAUUAUUGAUGCCUAAUUCAUAAAAGGUUUUUCUGUUCUGCAUGCAGCAUCUGGACACAGGAAUAUUCUUUGGGAUUCUUUGGGAUUUUAAUUGUGGACUUGUAUUACCUGGCCAAAUAUAUAAAGUUUGAAGUGCAAUUAAAAUUUUAGAGUGUAAAUAAAAUUACCAUCUUUUAUUGGUUUUUUAAGAAAGCUUUAAUGAAAAGAAUUUGAGCUAAGUUUAAUUUAAUAAAAAACCACCAUAUACUAUUAUUUAACCAAAAAGACUUCAUAUUUAAUCAUGAGGAUAAAACUAAUUUAUAGUACCAUACCCACAAACAUUUAACACACAUGAGCCCAAAACGAAAUGUUUUUUUUCCACCUUUGCCCCUAACAGCAAUGCUAUUCUGUCAGCCAAUUCUGUUACAAAUAAACUUUCCUUUACUUACAAGUAUGCCAUUAAGUCAGCCAAUUCUUUCUCUCUUUCUUUUUCUUUUGGCCGUUCGUUAUCUCUUCAGGUUUUGCAUUUUUUUUCCCCUUGUUUUCUUCAUGUCGUCCCCCUCCCUCCUGAAGGAGAGGUAAAACUCAACGUGGGUGAAAGAGAGUGGCCACCUCCUCAAACCAUUUUGCACGUUUAAAGAAAAUGUGAGUAAUUGCUUCCCCAAUUUCUUUUAUUAUAUAUACAUAUUUUAUAUAUUUUAUAUAUAUAUAUAUUAUUAAUUUAUUAGUUUAUUACUUAUUUGUAAUUAGGUGGUUCAGAUUCUUUUGUUGAUCAAUUUCCACCUUAAUUUUGCUUACCACUUAGAACUCACUUUCCUAGAAUGCAGGAGCCACUUCCAUUGGAAAUUAUCCCAGUUUCAUUUUCAGUUUGUGAGUCUUUGUAGAUUUGCCAAUGGGGUAUCGACUCUUAACGGAUAAAACAAUGGUUUUGAAGAUUUGCCCGUAAAGCUCCGGUAUUUUCACCAGCUCGAGUGUUUUCAACAUCACCACCUUCUCCUUGUUAUUUGCCUUUACCAGCAGUGUUGUUCAUGGCUUUGUUCUGUCCUAGCAACAACAUGAAAACAAAUCAACAAAAAAGAGAUAGGUCCUCGUCGGAUCCUCUUUGUGAGGAUCACGAGGAUUCUUUAAUCCUGUCAUUCCAUCGUACAUCGUGCAAUCAGAAAUCAUUUUAAAUUAUAUGAUUCAAAAUUGAACACAAACAGUACCUGACGAAAAUUGACCGCACGAUGUAUGAUGAACGAACAUGAUUAAAGGAUCUCCGGGAUCCUCACAAAGAGGAUCCGGCGAGGAUCCUAUCUCAACAAAAAAAUGCAUUGAUCUACUAACAAUUUGAUACUUUAUGUCUUCAAAUAAAAAACAAGAUCAAAUAGCUACAAUAUUUCCCCAGGUAAACAAAAUUAUCAAUUAAAAAUAUUGAACACUAACUAUUUCUCGAAUUGGAUAGGGGUACCGAUACUAUUUCUUAAAUAGAACAUUAGUACUAUUAUUAUUUCUUAAACUGAAUACUAGCACUAUCAAUAUUUCUUAAACUGAACAUUCAUUAUUUCUUAAACUAAGCACUGGUACUGUCACUAUUUCUUAAACUGAACAUUCACUAUUUCGUAAACUGAACACAAAUAUUAUUACUAUUUCUUAAACUGAAUAUUCACUAUUUUGUAUACUGAACACGGGUAUUAUCAUUAUUUCUUAAACUUAACACUAAUAUUAUUACUAUUUCUUAAGCUGAAUACUGACUAUUUCUUAAAUUGAACACUGACUAUUUUUAUAAUUGAAUACAGGUACUGUCACUAUUUCUUAAACCAGAAAUAGUGAAUUAGGGUUUAGUUAUUAUGAUAUAUUGUUGGAUUAUGAUUAACAUAUAAUUGUGUUCUGGCCUUAUAGAAAAAAAGGUACACACCAUGUUAAAUACAUGUAGGUAUUUAUAUAUAAAUAUAUAUUACGCACGUAUACUGUAAUUCCAACUUUUGAUAGAUCAAGCCAUGAGUUUCCCAGUCCCCUUCAUGCACCUGGAUACUGCCAGAACAAAUUUUUGGGACGUGUGGCGAGCCUGGCUCUUGAAGAUGUUGUAGAACUUCUCAGCAGGUGCCUUGAUUUCGAUCUCAGUCUCAACCUUACCGUGCAGAGUCAUGUUUAUGAUCAGUUGGGAUGGCACCAUAAUUAAUCAAUUUGCACCAUACUACUAAAUUUUUUUAAUUUUUCAUCAUUUCUUUCGUUAAGUAGGUGUGCUAUCCGCAUGACUGCCUUCAAAGGGUAAAAAAGUCAUUUUACCUACACCUUCUGUCUUCUUUCUUUUCUCCGAACUUUCUCUUCUUCUUCCUUUUCACCAAGCCGAGCCCGUGCUGUUCCACCAUGCUCCACCGGCACGAUUUUCCGGCGAACACCAAAAGAAACAAUGGGAGGGAUCUGAGCUCGUAGAUUCGCGUUCACUACAUCCCUUUCUUACACUCAUCGCAAACCCUACCCUCCUAUUCCAGUGGGUACACCUCCCCCGUCGCCAUUGAGUUUCUGAAUAAAAACCGCGCGUACAACUCGACCACCACCGCCGCCACUCCUACGGCUCCCAUAGCCACCAACGCGUGCUCUCGCGAAGACCCGCACCUGAAGUUGGUGCCUUCGAUUAUGAUCGAGUACUUGGACUUUGUCUCUCCCGGAUCCACGAAGCGCAUGGAGUAGGAGGCGGGGAGGCCGCAGAGCGCGUAAGACCCAAGCUUGGCGAUGUGGGGAGAAGAUGAGAUAGAUUUGAUCAAGCCUUGCCAAAGAAUCUGGGAAGUACAAAAUAAUAGGAAUAUUAUUAAACUAACGAGAAUGCGGGAAUGGCUACAAAACCCUAGAAUGCUACAUUGUGACUAAUUUAUUGUUCUACGAGCUACAAAGCAUCAUAUAUAUAGAGAACUAACAUAACCCUAGUAGGCAAGAAAACGAAACCCUAAUACUAACGGGCUAAGCCCAAAUUCAAACAAUAAAAUAAUCAUAAAUUCUAACACCCCCCAUCAAACUCAUGACGGUAUACGGCAAGAGUUUGGAACAAGAAGAGGCGGAUGCAAGCUCCGUUAGGCAGACACGACAAAACAAGCUCCGUAGGCGGACACGACAAAGCAAGCUCCGUUAGGCGGACACAAUAAGGCAAGCGGGUGAGCAACCAAGUGAGCAAAUGAACAAUCCAAGCUUCAAUCAACAAGGCCCAACCAAAGGCCUUCAAACAAAUCAUAAUAGCAACAACACGUUUGCCCCAACAAAAAGCAACAAAUACUGCCUACCAACUCUUUUCCACUAGCAACUUUUCACAGGUCAACAAACUUUUUUUUUCUUUGCUUUCUUCCUUCGAUCUGCGAACAAAGUGUGGUAACAAAUGGUGGGUGCGGCGGUUGCUGGGUAGGGCAAGCAAAUUCAUCUCUAGGUGCAGUUAUGGGACGACAUCAGGUUACAAGUCCGGGCAGCAAUGGUUCCAGGUGGGUUCAACGGAUUAUGGGUAGCAAUGGGUUUCGAUAUGGGCUUCAAAAAGUUGUCAGGCAGCAGCAAUGCGAAUCGAUUCAGAUGGUACAGGCUAUAGCAACGAGUGCGAUGGCCAACUCGUGCAUGCGUCAUUGGGUGGCAAGACGACGACGUGAUGCAUGCAGCAAAUAGAUUCAAUUUUUUCUCCCUUUUUUUAAGCAACAAAACCCUAACUAGGGCACAACGACAAACCACAACGAAGAAGAGGAAUGUGACAAGACAAACAAACUAGCUACCAAGAACAGAUUCAACCCAUCAAACCUGCUAUGAUACCAAGUUGAAUAUCAGAGUGCGCAACGAACAAGACUACAAAAUAAUAUGAAUAUUAUUAAACUAACGAGAAUGUCAGAAUGACUACAAAACCAUAGAAGGCUACAUUGUGACUAACUUAUUGUUUUACGAGCUAUAAAGCAUCAUGUAUAUAGAGAACUAACCUAACCCUAAUAAGCAAGAAAACGAAACCCUAAUACUGAUGGGUUAAGCUCAAAUUCAAACAAUAAAAUAAUCCUAAAUUCCAACACUCCACAUACUCUACUGCACCAAAUUCCCCUUUCUCUCUCUUCUCUUCUAUUCUCUCUCUCUCUCUGCUUUUCCUUUUCACAUUGCUUCUUAUUGAUGACCCACAACCACUCUAACACGUUGCCGCUACUCUCUUCCUUCCUUUCCUUUCCUUGUAAGAAAACAAGUAUUCUUCCCCUCCUCUGAGCGCUUUUUACUCUCAGAGAUUUUCCCCAACUGAGUUUUUCAUUUACUGCAAAAACAUAUUUUCUUUUGGGGUUUGGGGUUUAAAGGGAGGGUUUUUCUCUGUUUAUUUACAAAUUUAUUGAAAAGUUGAGCUCUUUGUGCUUCCGAUGUAAUGAGUUCUCUUUCCUUUAAAGGGUCUUGUUUGGUAACUUUGGUUACUGAGAAAAUGAGCGUUCUCUAUCGUUUGGUAUGCAGACGGGACGGGACGAAACGGAAUGGGACGGGACAGGACGGGACAGAACAGAGAGGAAGCGAAGAUGCCCUCGGAUGGAAACAAGAAGGAAGAAGAAGAAGAUGGAGAGGUUAUAAUUUUGUGUUCCACAGAUGUGGAACGAGUCGUUCCAGGGGGAUGAGGUGGAACAAAAAUUCACCAAAAACUCGUUAUGUGGAACAGUAUGUUCCACCCGUUUUAGGCGCACCAAACAUGGGACAGAACGCCCCGUCCCACGUACCAAACGGUACCUAAGAGAUGAAUUUGGGGAGUACAAAGUGAAAGUGUUGGUGGAGAGAAUGGAAUGUGCAGGGGAAUGACUUUUUUGCCCUUUAAAGGGUAGUCAUGUGGAUAGCACGCGACCUACUUAAUGUAAGAAUAGAUGAAAAAUUAAAAAAAUUGACAAAAUGUGCAAAUUGACUAAUUAUGAGAAUUGAGGGAGGAAAUUGACCAAAAUUAGAGUUGAGAGAGGAAAUUGGCCAAUGUUUACAAGUUAAUUAUGAAUACCUGUAUUAAUUUAUGCGAUAACUUAGAAAAAGUAGUGCUUCAAAGGAUCGCAUGAAAAACAUUCGUUUAUUAAAAAAAUUCAGAUAAAGGAAAUAUAUAAGACAAACGUACGUAAUCACUUUCGGUUCGAUUAUGAACAUGAUUUGGAUCAAUAAUAUUAGGGUGCUAUAUAUUAUUGAUAUUAUUAGAUUUCAAUAACCAAUCACUGGUUUUUUUGCAAUAUUAUACUUGUACAUUUUCAAGCUACCACAUUUUUUUCCUUCUGGAUGUAUGAAAAUUUAGGUAUUGCGUUUGUUCCUUUGUUAAGAAGUCAUCCCCAACUCCCUUGCCCUAUUAUUUUUAUCAAGGAAAAAUAACUCCCCAGUUUAAAAGCUAUAUAAUUAACCAGCAUGAAUGCUGGACAACUGUCGAAAGCAAAACUCAAAAUUCAUUGUAUAAUUAACAGUGAGACUAAAGGCUGACUAAGAACAUGAUUGUCAAAAGUUAUAUAAAAAAAAUAUAUAUCAGAGUAAAUCUCCAACAAAUCAGAAAGUAAAUCGUUAAAAUAUAGAGUAUACAUACAUAUAAAGUGAAUAAUUAAUAUAGAAUAUCUUUUGUACUAAAAAAUAUAUAUAUAUAUAUAAUGUUGAGAAUGAAUUUCACAUUAAUAGGAAGAAGGACUUUGCAUAAACUUAUAAGUAAGUUGGGCUACUCUCUCAUAUUGCCAAUUGAUUUUAUGAUAGAACAUCAACUUUCUUCAUGGUACCAGAGUAGGUUGUCUCACAUAUGAAGCCAAACGGCCACGUGCGCUCCAUGUCACCCCUUUGUGUUGUCCACGCGUUAGGCUUGAAAAUUCGUCACACGUGAAAGGAUGUGUUGAAAAUGAAUCUCACAUUGAUGGGAUGAACGACCUUACAUAUUGGACAAAUAUUGUAGAGUACACCACAUUUUAUUUAUAGAUGAUCGACAACCAUAAUCUAUUACAUCACAAUGUCAUAUAUGACAUCCUUCGUACAUCUUUUAAAAUACACACAAACCUAAUUAAGAAAAGCAUUUUAUUUAAGUAGGUACGCAUUGAUGAACAUAUGCAUGCAUGAUUACAUAUAAUUGAACCCUUUCUAACAAGACCAGCAAAAGCUCUUUCCAACCGUUGCAUAUGCUGCAGCCUGCAGAUAUGGUUUUUAUUCGUUAAUUUAUUUAUUUAUGCUCCCAGAAAGUGAGCGUCAAGAUCCUGGACGAGUUUAACCAUCAAACCGACAUAUCUAUCUGGAGCUUCAACAUUCUCAUUCAGUUUCUCGUAUUCGAUCCACAGGUUGGCAAUGCAGGUGCUUUCAUCUUUUUGAGUGAAUUUAUAGACACCCUUGAAGCUGUUAUAACUAUGAGUGUAUGAUGAUCUGAGCACAACUGUUAAGGUAUACAUACAUAUAAAGUGAAUAAUUAAACAGGAAAAUUGAAGUAGUGGUACCUAGUUCAUAUUUCCAAAUCUUAAUAGAGCCGUGUGUUUCCCAGUCUCCUUCAUGCACAUCAACUCCCUUGAUAUGGGUAUUAGAAAUGUUUGGGAUGAGGUGGGCGCUCUUGAACAUGUUGUACAACUUGUCAGCUGGUGCCUUAAUUUCUAUUUCAGUCCCAAUUUUACCAUGCAGAACCAUGUUUAUGAGCAGUUUUGAAUUGAUGGGUGCUACUCAGAAAUUAUAAGAGAAGAAUGUUAUAGGAUAUGUAUAAUUUGGGCUCCUACCCUCCUUAAAU